CCAUCUACUAAAAGCCAUAUCACAUUCGCUGACACUGGUAAAAGCAAGGUAUUGGGCCUAGGUAGAGUUGCUAUCCCAAAGGAUCAACACAUGGAUAAAGUGAUGCUUGUUGAAUCCCUUGGUUACAACUUAAUGUCUAUCUCAAUACUUUGUGAUCUGAACAUGAUUGUGAUAUUUGCAAAAUAUCAUUGUCUUGUGCUAAUGUGGCUUGAACUACGUCGAUAUUUCCCCAAAGAGGAAGGGAUGAUGCAGCACAACUACGGUAGGUAUUUCCCUUAGUGAUGAGACUAAGGUUAUCGAACCAGUAGGAGAACCACGGAACACUACAUGAACGACACCUGCACAAAAAUAAAAAAUACUCGCAACACGACGUAUUAAAGGGGUAGUCAAUCCCUUUCGGGUAACGGCGCCAGAAUUUGGCAAGUACACGGGAUAAAAAUUGUGAUAGAUUGAUAAAUGAAAAUAAAAGAAAAUAAAAUCCAGUGAGAUAUUUUUGGGUUUUUGGAUUAAUAUAUCUAAAAAUAAAAGCAAAUAAAAAUAGAUCGCGAAGGCAAAUAUAAUAAAGAAGAGACCCGAGGGCCAUAGGUUUCACUAGUGGCUUCUCUCAAGAAAAAUAGCAAACGGUGGGUAAACAAAUUACUGUUGGGCAAUUGAUAGAACUUCAAAUGAUCAUGAUGAUAUCCAAGUAAUGAUCAUUAUAUUGGCAUCACGUCCAAGAUUAGUAGACCGACUCCUGCCUGCAUCUAGUACUAUUACUCCACACAUCGACCGCUAUCCAGCAUGCACCUAAUGUAUUAAGCUCAUGGAGAAAUAGAGUAAUGCAAUAAGAACGAUGACAUGAUGUAGACAAGAUCUAUUUAUGUAGAAAUAGACCCCAUCUUGUUAUCCUUAAUAGCAAUGAUACAUACGUGUCAGUUCCCCUUUCUGUCACUGGGAUCAAGCACCGUAAGAUUGAACCCAUCAGAAAGCACCUCUUCCCAUUGCAAGAUAUAUAGAUCAAGUUGGCCAAACAAAACCCAAAUAUCGGAGAAGAAAUACGAGGUUAUAAGAAAUCAUGCAUAUAAGAGAUCAAAAGACUCAAAUAACUUUCCUGGAUAAAAACAUAGAUCUGAUCAUAAACUCAAAGUUCAUCGGAUCCCAACAAACACACCGCGAAAAGAGUUACAUCAUAUGGAUCUCCAAGAGACCAUUGUAUUGAGAAUCAAACGAGAGAGAGGAAGCCAUCUAGCUAGCUACUAACUACAAACCCGAAGGUCUACAAAAGACUACUCACGCAUCAUCGGAGAGGCACCAAUGAGGAUGAUGAACCCCUCCGUGAUGGUGUCUAGAUUGGAUCUGGUGUUUCUGGAACUUGCGGCGGCUGGAAUUGAUUUUCGUUGAGGCAUAUUGGGGUAUUCAUAGAGCAAAGAGAUGGUGCAGGAGGCCACCAAGGUGGGCACAGCCUACCUGGGCACGCCUGGGGGCCCAGGCAUGCCCUGGUGGUUUGUGGCCCCCUCGGGACACCCCCAGGUGCUUCUCCGGCCCAUUGGGUGUCUUUUGGUCCAUAAAAAAUCCACAAAAUGUUUCGCUGCAUUUGGACUCCGCUUGGUAUUGAUUUCAUGCGAUGUAAAAAAUAAGCAAAAAACAGCAACUGACACUUGGCACUAUGUCAAUAGGUUAGUACCAAAAAAUGAUAUAAAAUGAUUAUAGAACAUCCAAGAAUGAUAAUAUAACAACAUGGAACAAUAAAAAAUUAUAGAUACAUUGGAGACGUAUCAGCAUCCCCAAGCUUAAUUCCUGCUCGUCCUCGAGUAGGUAAAUGAUAAAAACAGAAUUUUUGAUGUGGAAUGCUGCCUAACAUGUUCAUCACAUAUUCUUUCUUUUAUAGCAUGGACAUUUGGACUUCUAUAUGGUUCAAAGCAAUAUUCUAGUUUUGACAUGAAGACUUCAAUACUCAAGCAUAUCAACAAGUAGCCAUGUCUUUCAAAAUAUCAACGCGAAAGCAAGUUAUCCCUAGCCCAUUAUGCUCAAUCAUUGAUCCAUUCAUGAAACACACUCACAUAUUAGCUACACCCAAUGCUCAAGUACGAUAAUAGUGCCCCUUAAUGGGUGCUUUAAAAGAGAAUAUGGAGACUCAAAGAAAAAUAAAAAUUGCAUAAAGUAAAUAGAAAGGCCCUUCGUAGAGGGAAGUAGGGAUUUGUAGAGGUGCUAGAGCUCAAAGUGAAAAAGAUAGAUAUAAAAACAUUUUGGGAGGCAUGCUUUUCCUGUCAACGAGAACGAUUGAGUAGUUCCCAAUACUUUCCAUGCCAGAUAUAUCAUAGGCGGUUCCCAAACAGAAAAUAAAGUUUAUUCCUUUUUCCACCAUACUUUCACUUUCCAUGGCUAAGCGUAUCCACGUGUGCCUUCCAUACCAACACUUUCCAAGGAAUUUAUUAUUUGACAACAUAAUGUAAAUUCAUUUUCAUUUCGGGGCUAGGCAUCCCUAAUACCUUUGUUGUACUCUUGUGCAAUGAAAAGUGAAUAAACACUCAUCAUGAGAAUAACACAUAUAGCAUGGAAAUAUAUCAGCCAACCCCUACCGUUUCAUGAGCGGUACGAGCACACAAAAGAGAAGCUUAUUUUGAACAUUAGAGAUGGCACAUACAAAUUUGCUAAGAGCGGCAAAAGAAUACCACAUAUAAGUAGGUAUAGUGGACUUGUAUGGCAAAACUAGUUUAAAGGAUUUUGGAUGCACAAGUAGUGAUUAUACUUAGUGCAAAAUGAAGGCUAGCAAAAGAUUGAGAAGCGACCAACCAAGAAACGAAAAAUCUCUUAAGCGAGCAUUAAGCAUAACUAACACUGAAUAAUGCACCACAAGUAGGAUGUAAUUUCAUUGCAUAACUAUUGACUUUCGUGCUUGCAUAGGGAAUCACAAACCUUAACACCAAUAUUCUUACUAAAGCAAUAAUUACUCAUUAACAUGACUCGCAUAUUAUAUCAACAUAUCUCAGCUAUUACAAGGAAUAAAGUUUAUUUUGUCCAAUGAUCUUCAGGAAAGUUUUUAUUAUAUCCACUUGGAUAUCUAUCACUUUGGGACUAGUUUCAUAUGUUGCUUUUGAUAGCUCAAACAAAUCUUAGUGAAGAACAUGAGCAUAAAAAUUUUCUUCUCUCAAAUUAAUUUAAGUGAAGCAAGAGAGAAUUUAUUAAAAAAAUUACUAACUCUCAAAUAAAUCUAAGUGAAGCAUGAGAGCAUUUCUUCAAAAAUACUAAAGCACACCAUCCUCCAAAAGAUAUAAGUGAAGUACUAGAGCAAUUCCAUAGCUCAUAAAAAUUUAAGUGAAGCUUAGAGAGCAAUUCUAACAAGUCAUGGCAUAAUUUUGGCUCUCUCAAAUAGGUGUGUCCAGCAAGGAUUCAUGACUAAGAACACAAAGCAAAACAAGCAAAGACUCAUAUCAUACAAGACACUCCAGGCAAUAUGUGAUGAAUAAAAAUAUAGUUUCAAGUAAAAUACUGAUGGUUGUUAGAAGAAAGAGGGGAUGCCACUCGGGGGCAUCCCCAAGCUUAGUUGCUUGAUACUUCUUGAAUAUUAUAUUGGGGUACCAUGGGCAUCCCCAAGCUUAGCAUUUUGCUAAUCCUUAUUCGUUCAUCCAUCGUAAAGUCACCCAAAACUUGAAAACUUUAAUCACACAAAACUUAACAAAACCUUCAUGAGAUCCGUUAGUAUAAGAAAGCAAAUCACUACUAUAAGUACUGUUGCAAACCCAUUCAUAUUUUAUUUUUGCAUUAUAUCUACUAUAUUCCAACUUUUCUAUGGCAAAAACUCUUCAAAGAAAACCAUAGAAUCAUCAAAACAAGCACCCAACGCAAAGAAAACCGAAUCUAUCAAAAACAGAGCAAUAUGUAGCAAUCUGGAGAUUUUGAAUACUUCUGUAACUCCAAAAAUUCGAAAAUUAGGACAACAUGAGCAAUUUGUAUAUAAAAUCUCCUGCAAAAACAAUAAGUAUUUUAUCUUGCUUCUGUUAAAACUUAAAUUAUUUUCGUGAGCGCAAAAGUUUCUGUUUUUCAGCAAGAUCAAAUGAACUAUCACCCAACAUGAUCCCAAAGGAUUUACUUGGCACAAACACUAAUUAAAACACAAAAACACAAUCAUAACAGUAACAUAAUUUUUCAAACACUCAAGAACACUAAGGAAAAGACAAAAUUAAUUUUUGUUCAUUGGGUUGCCACCCAACAAGCUCUAUUGUUUUAUGCCCCUAGCUAGGCAUAAUGCAAAGGAUCUAAGUAUUGACAUCUUUGUUUCUAGAUCCAUAUGAUGCCCUCAUGAUUGAUUCAUAUGGUGGAUUAAUUCUAGUUCUAGGGAAGUGUUCCAUACCCUUCCUUAGUGGAAAUUGAAAUUUAACACUGCCUCUUUCGUAUCAAUCACGGCACAUGUCGUGGAAUUGUCACGGCAGAUGUCCUAGUGUGAGGACUUAGUCGUGAGGCCAGCACAUCUUUGUGGUAGCUUGAGAGGGGUUGAUCGGGAUGAGAGACGCAGGGCGGAUCAACGCACAAGACAAGGGUUUAGACAGCUUCGGCCCCCGAGAAACAUCAUCCGGGAAUAGCCCUACAUGUUGUUUGUGGCUAGGUCUCAUUAUGCUCAUGAGGGAGUCGCCGCAUAAGUUGGCUCUGCUAGUUGUGUCUAGCCCUAGAAAUUAUUUUGUCCCUCUUUGGGUGCCUUGCCCCUCCUUAUAUAUGUUGAAGGGGCGGGUUACAUGACUAGUCCUAAUAGGAUUAGGAUUACUCUAUUACAAGUGGAGUCCUAGUCUUGCUUCUUUUGUAGGAUAAUAUUCCUUAUGCCUUUCCUCUUAAACCGGACCAUCAUAACGUGAGUCGGCCUUCUAGGCCUUAGGCCUUAUUUUCCAUCUGACCCGCCCGCCGAGUUACAAAUGAGUCGCCAAGAUCGGGCGGGUUACCUGUGAAUCGCCAAGCCUCCAGCCGGGUCAUACAUCUGGCGGGUUACACCGCGGGGUAUAUCCCCGAUAUUAACCCCCAGUUUAAUUUGGAUUUAUCCAUGUUAAACUAAUCUGCAAUAUAACACAAGAACAAAUUUGACAGGUUGUUCUUCGGGUUAAAUUUUCUUGUAAGCCGACACCUGAUCAUCCUUAAGUCCUUAUCAUUUUCUUCUUCUAGAAAAUCCUGGUCAGUAAGCCAGCUUCGUAAUCAAUUUGCUUGUAGAAGAAAUAUUGUAAAUGAAUAAAUAAUCCAUUUGAUUCGGCCUAUAAUGCUCUGACUUGACAAAAAUAUUGGUUCUGAAAUAUUCAACCGAUAUUCAACCGGUUUGUAGAACUUGCUGAGUUAUGCUUUCCAAAAUUACCGGGUUAUAAAAACUGAUGACUCCGGGUCAUGACUGUUAUAGACACCAGGUCAUGAUUGUUGCCAACGCCGGGUCAAAACUGAGAAUUUUGACGAUUUCUCUCCCUCAUAUCCAUAUUACCGGUAGCCCCCAAGUCUUGAGCAGAACAAAGUGAUGACUUAAGACUUGCUUUAAUAUAAAUAUUACCACUUUGAAGAAAAUCCAUGUUGUUCAUCUCAGUCACUAGUAAAAACUGAAUACUCCAUAUAUGUAGCCCCCAAGUGUCGGGUUUUCAUGCUUGCAACAACCUGGGACUUGUAAUUGCCUUAUGCUCACAAAAACUUCAACCGGUGUAGCCCCCAAGGGCCGGGUCAUUAUGCAAUAAUGAGCAGGGACUUUAUAAAUACGUGUAGCCCCCAAGGGCCGUCUCAGUAAGAUAAUAUUGAGCUGGGACUUUAUAUAUACUUGAUUGAAAAUAACUUCAUAUGACGUAACCCCCACCACGGGGCUCGAACGCACGUCCAUAAGGUUAAGAGCCUUCUACUCUUCCAACUAAGAAAUAAACCUUUCAAUAUAAUAGAUUAAAGCUUGUGUACCUUAAAUUUCUGACAUGAGCAAUCGGUAGCCCCCAAGGGCCGGCUCAUUAUGAUGUGAUGAGUCGGGUCUUCAAUAAGGCCAGUAAAAAUGACUUUGCAUUAGCCCCCAAGUGUCAUGGUGCAUCCUUGCAGCGACAUGAGACUUGCAUAUUUGAUGUAAUCUCAACUUGAAUAAUGUAGCCCCCAAGUGCAGGGUCGUAAGCCUGCAGCGACUUGGGACUAUUCCUUUCAUUGUAGAAUAAAUCAUAUCCAUUGAUAAAUAAUAGCCAUUGCGCUGAAGCGACUUUGAAAACCUUAAUCAUAAUACUGGUUAUUGAUAACCACAAUAAAAAUGCAGCCAUGUUGGCUAUUAAACAUUUGAAUAAUAUAACCCGAUGAUUUAUAAGCGCAUGAUUCCAAUGGCGCAAUCCAAAUAGAUACUAGCGACUUAUAGUCCAAAGCCAGGUCGGGUUAAUAAACACCGGUGAAUUAUCUUAUCUCAUACUGGUGACUUAUAGUCAAAAGCCAGGCCGGGUUAAAUUGAAACCAUACUUAUACUUAGAUCUUAGAUGAAAAGCCACAGAAUAAAAAACAAAGAUUGUUUUCCAAAAAUGUAAGCCAAAUAAAAAGAAAAAUUUGGAGGCUUCUCAUUCGGAUACGAUCAGUAAACCGGACCAAAGGGGUUAAGCUAAGAUUCGAAUACGAUCAUGUAGCCCCCAGUGGCUUUGGCGUUGCGCCGAUCAAGAGGGUACCGACAGCUAUGUUCUCUUUGGUUCAAAUACGACCUAUGUUUGAACAGGAAGCCCCCAAAUGAUCAUAUGGUUUAAUGGCUAGAUUCGAAUACGAUCAUGAGCCGAACCAAAGGGUUAAGCUAGAUUUGAACACAACCAGCCCCCAAUUGGUCAUUUUGAAAUUAUAAUGAUGAAGACAUAUGAUUAUUGAGGAUGAAAAGGACAGAGGUCCUGCUUUAUUACUUAUCAUAAUAUAUACAACAUCAAAAAUACGUACAUCAUGAGAGCCGGUGGCUCAAGUAUAGUAAGGCUGAAGAUGAGCGAUAUUCCACGGUCGGCGGGUCUCUUCCUCCGACUUACGUGAGUCUUUGUGCUCUCGAAUAUCGAUAAGCUAGUAUGACCCGUUGUUCAAGUUCCUACUAUCCCCAAAAGGUCCUUCCAAGGGUGGGGAUAACUUGUGUGCAUCAGUUUGAUCCUGGAUGAGACGGAGCACCAAGUCACCUUCUUGAAAGGUUCUGGACUUAACUCGGCGGCUGUGAUAACGGCAUAGGUCCUGUUGGUAAAUCAUCGAGCGGGCUGCUGCUAAGUCACACUUUUCAUCUAAUAGGUCAAGUGCAUCCUAACGGGCUUGUUCGCUAUCAGUCUCAAUGUAAGCCGCCACGCGGGGCAAGUCAUGACGGAUGCCACUAGGUAGGACUGCCUCUGCUCCGUAAACCAUGAAGAAAGGCUUUAUAACCCGUAGACCUGUUGGGGGUAGUAUUGAUACUCAUCACAAAGGGUAACUCCUCCACCCAACAACCCGGUGUCCGUUGUAAAGGAACCAUAAGUCGGGGUUUGAGACCUUUUAAGAUUUCCUGAUUGUCUCUUUCAGCUUGACCAUUGGAUUGGGGUUGAGCUACUGAUGAAACAUCAAGCCGGAUAUGCUCACGUUGGCAAAAUUCCUCCAUAGCACCCUUGGAGAGAUUAGUACCAUUAUCAGUUAUAAUGUUGUGUGGAAAACCGAAACACAAAUCACCUUUUUCAUGAAUUGAACAGUCGUGGCGGCAUCACACUUACUAACCGGCUCUGCCUCAACCCACUUUGUGAAUUUGUCAACUGCCACCAGAAGGUGUGUCUUUUUAUCUUUGGAUCUUUUGAAAUGUCCAACCAUGUCGAGCCCCCAGACCGCAAAUGGCGAAGCAAUUGGAAUCAUCCGCAAUUCUUGAGCCGGCACGUGUGCCUGUCGUGAGAAUUUCUGACAACCAUCACACCUACUGACCAGAUCCUCCGCAUCAGCGUGAGCCAUCAGGCAGUAAAAACCAUGACGGAAGGCUUUGGCUACAAGGGACUUUGAACCGGCAUGAUGGCCACAAUCUCCUUCAUGGAUUUCACAAAGAAUUUCUUGACCUUCCUCAGGAGAAACACAACGUUGAAACACCCCUGAGACACUGCGAUGAUGCAACUUACCCGGCUCAAGCUCAUCUCCUUAGCCAUCCGAAGACCAUGGGGCAAGGCCUCAUACUCAGCUGCAUUGUUAGUACAGGGAAACAUUAGCCGUAGCACAUAAUAAAAUUUGUCACCUCAAGGGGAAGCUAAAACAACUCCAGCCCCGAGCCCUCUAAUUGCAUGGACCCAUCAAAAUGAAUAUUCCAAUAUGUGUUGUCCGGCUUCUCUUCAGGCAUCUGCAGCUCUGUCCAAUCGUUGAUGAAGUCCACCAGUGCUUGAGACUUGAUAGCAGUGUGUGGCACAUACUUUAGGCCAUGGGGCCCAAGUUCAAUGGCCCACUUGGCAACUCGUCCUGUGGCUUCUCUAUUUUGAAUGAUAUCUCCUAAAGGAGCAUAACUAACCACAAUGAUGGGAUGGCCCUGAAAAUAUUGCUUAAGCUUCCAGCUCGCCAUGAACACCCUAUAAACAAGUUUCUGCCAAUGUGGAUAUCUCUUUUUGGACUCAAUAAGCACCUCACUGAUAUAGUAAACCGGUCGUUGAACCGGUUAUUCCUUGCCGGCCUCCUUGUGCUCUACUACCAUGGCCACACUGACAGCACGUGUGUUAGCAGCCACAUACAACAAUAAUGGCUCCUUAUCAACAGGAGCAGCAAGGACCGGCGGCUCAGCGAGUUGUCUCUUAAGAUCUUCAAAGGCGGCGUUAGCAGCAUCACUCCAGACAAAAUCGUCUAUCUUCUUCAUCAUUUGAUACAGCGGUAUGGCCUUCUCACCUAACUGGCUUAUGAACCGGCUUAAAGCAGCAAUACGACCUGCCAAACGCUGAACAUCAUUGAUGCACGCCGGCUUAGCCAAAGAUGUGAUUGCUUUGAUCUUCUCCGGGUUAGCCUCGAUGCCUCUAUUAGAAACGAGAAAACCCAAAAGCUUGCCCGCUGGUACUCCGAAAACACACUUGGCCGGGUUAAGCGUCAUCUUGUAGACCCGGAGGUUAUCAAAGGUUUACAUUGGAUCAUAUAUCAAGGUCUUCUUCUCUCUGGACUUCACCAGAAUAUCAUCCACAUAAGCAUGAACAUUGUGCCCAAUCUGAUUGUGAAGACAGUUCUGCACACAUCGCUGAUAAGUCGCCUGGGCACUCUUAAGCCCAAAAGGCAUAGCCACAUAGCAGAAGGCUCCAAACAGAGUAAUAAAAGCCGUCUUCUCCUGGUCCUUAACUACCAUCUUGAUCUGAUGAUAACUAGAAUAAGCAUCCAAAAAUCUCAAACGCUCACAACCCGCCGUAGCAUCAAUGAUUUGAUCAAUACGAGGGAGAGCGAAUGGAUCAGCCGGACAAGCCUUGUUUAAGUCCGUGUAAUCCACACACAUACACCAGGUGCCGUUCUUUUUAAGCAGGAGCACCGGGUUAGCCAACCAUUAUGGAUGAAGAACUUCAAUAAUGAACCCGGCCGCCAAGAGCCAGGCCACUUCCUCACCAAUGGCCUUGCGCCUCUCCUCAUUGAACCGCCGAAGAAACUGCUUGACCGGCUUAAAUUUUGGAUCAAUAUUGAGAGUUUGCUCAGCAAGUUCUCUCGGUACACCCGGCAUGUCAGAAGGUUUCCAUGCAAAGAUGUCCCGGUUCUCACGGAUGAACCUGAUGAGCGCGCUUUCCUAUUUAGGAUCCAUAUUAGCACUGAUACUGAACUGCUUAGAUGAGUCACCUGGAACAAAAUCGACAAGCUUGGUGUCAUCAGCUGAUUUAAACUUCAGCACCGGCUCAUGUUCUGUAGUCGGCUUUUUCAAAGACGCCAUGUCUGCCGGGUCAACAUCGUCCUUGUAGAACUUCAACUCUUUUGUUGCACAAACAGAUUCAGCGUAAGCAGCAUUGCCUUCCUCGCAUUCCAAGGCUAUCUUCCGACUCCCAUGCACUGUCAUGGUGCCCUUAUGACUCGACAUUUUAACCUGCAAAUAAACAUAACACGGCCGUGCCAUAAACUUAGCAUAAGCCGGUCGUCCAAACAGGGCAUGAUACGGGCUCUUGAUUUUGACCACCUCAAAAGUUAACUCCUCGGCCCUAGAAUCAUGCUCAUCUCCAAAGGCUACUUCCAGUUCAAUCUUACUCACUGGGUACGCCGACUUACCAGGCACCACUCCAUGGAAAACAUUAUUGGACGUUUUAAUAUUUUUGUUAGUCAACCCCAUGCGACAGAAAGUCUCAUAAUAGAGGAUGUUGAUGCUACUGCCUCCGUCGAUGAGUACCUUAGUGAAUUUAUAUCCACCAACCUGAGGUGCCACCACCAAGGCCAGGUGACCCGGAUUGUCAACCUAGGGAGGAUGAUCUUCCCUACUCCACAGAAUAGGCUGCUCAGACCAUCUCAAAUAACGAGGGACUGCCAGAUUAACAACAUUUACACCCCUCUUAUGAAGCUUCUGGUCCCGUCUGCACAAACUGGUGGUGAACACAUGAUACUGUCCACUAUUUAACUGCUUUGGAUUGCUCUGAUAUCCAGACUGCUGCUGCUGCUGACCUCCCUAGCCAGAUUGCUGAUUGUAGCCACCUUGAUUUCCUUGAGAGCCUUAAAAGUUGGAAUUUGAACCGCCGCCCGGGCCAUGAAAACCGCCGCCACCUGAGCCACCGCUCGACCCAUGAUUGUUGUUGAACAUGUUAGAAUUCUUGAAAGCCUUCAUGAUCGUACAGUCCCUCCAUAGGUGAGUGGCCAGUUUCUGCUGAGUACCGUGCCUUGGACAGGGCUCAUUUAACAACUGUUCAAGAGUAGGACCUGACCCGCCGGACCGAGGAGGUGGCCUCCCCUUACAUCAUUGAUUGUUUCCCAGUGCAUUGGUGUUAGCCACAAACUCCGAGCUAUCAUCAGCCUUACGCUUAUUAUUGCCUCCUUGAUUCGCCGAGUUAUGCUGAUGACCCUUGGCAUUGUCGUUCUUCUUUCCCUUUCCUGUCUUCUCGUCGUGAGACUUAGGAUCCUUGGUACUAUCAGAGUCGAUGUACUUGACUAGAGCCGCCAUUAGCUGGCCCAUGUCAUUACAAUCGCGCUUGAGCCGCCUAGCUUCUGUUUCAGAGGCGUAAAAUGGCAAUUUUUCUCCAACAUUAAGACUGCAGAGCCGGCAUCCAUCUUAUCAGAUGAAUGUAUUAUGGCUUUGACCUGGCUGUCGGUGUCAAAACCGGUGGAUCUCGGGUAGGGGGCCCCGAACUGUGCGUCUAAGGCGGAUGGUAACAGGAGGCAGGGGAUACGAUGUUUUCCCAGGUUCGGGCCCUCUUGAUGGAGGUAAUACCCUACGUCCUGCUUGAUUGUUCUUGAUGAUAUGAGUAUUACAAGAGUUGAUCUACCAUGAGAUCAUAGAGGCUAAACCCUAGAAGCUAGCCUAUGGUAUGAUUGUAUGCUAUCCUAUGGACUAAACCCUCCGGUUUAUAUAGACACCGGAGGGGGCUAGGGUUACACAAGGUCGGUUACAAGGGAGGAGAUAUACAUAUCCGUAUUGCCUAGCUUGCCUUCCAUGCCAAGGAGAGUCCCAUCCAGACACGAGACGAAGUCUUCAAUCUUGCAUCUUCAUAGUCCAACAGUCCGGCCAAAUGAUAUAGUCCGGCUGUCCGGAGACCCCCUAAUCCAGGACUCCCUCGGUAGCCCCUGAACCAGGCUUCAAUGACGAUGAGUCCGGCGCGCAGUAUUGUCUUCGGCAUUGCAAGGCGGGUUCCUCCUCCGAAUACUUCAUGGAAGAGUUUGAACACAAGGAUAGUGUCCGGCCCUGGAAAACAAGUUCCACAUACCAUCGUAGAGAGAAUAAUAUUUCCACAAAUCUAAUCUGCUGACACGUUUUGACGGUAUGACAUCACGCCACGGCCCGGUCAUUAUUCGAACCGUUUUUCUCAACCAGCACCGCACAUAUCGCGAGGUGGUUUUCUUGACAUGUCUUUUCAAAGUAGAGAUCGUGUUCCCCUUAUCACGGUAUUCUCAUCAAUACGGACGUGGGUAACCCAACCGCGCCAUCAAUUAAGGCGCUUGGGGAAUAAGCGGUUUUUACCAGGCGAGUGGGGAGACACAUCGCCUCUUCCGCCCAUAUAAAGGGACAAGAAUUUAACCUUUUCACCCACGCGUUCUUCUUCCUCGCUUACCCAUUCCAGCACACUCGAGCUCUAGCGCCCAAGCUCGCGUUCUUCUUCUCAAACCACUCCAAGCAUGUCCGGAGCAGGAGGCAAGUGGAUGGUCUCCUCCAUCACGGAGGAGAACAUCAAAAAGUUAUGGGAAGCCGGAUAUCUGGCCGCGGAUAUCGCGCACCGGCUGCCAGAUGCGGGGCAGAUCAUCCCUAUGCCCGAACCCCAUGAGAGGGUAGUUUUUCUUACCCACUUCGUCCGUGGACUGGGAUUUCCCCUCCACCCAUUCAUCCACGGGCUCAUGUUCUACUACGGGCGGAUUUUCAUGAUCUGGACCCCAAUUUCAUCCUCAACAUCUCGGCGUUUAUCGUCGUGUGCGAGGCCUUCCUCCGCAUCAAGCCCCAUUUCGUCCUGUGGCUGAAGACUUUUAAUGUCAAACCGAAGGUGGUGGUCGGGAAGCAGGCAGAGUGCGGAGGCGCCAUGGUGGGCAAGAUGCCUAACGUCACCUGGCUCGAAGGCUCCUAUGUGGAGACCAUAAAGGGGUGGCAAUCAGGGUGGUUCUACAUCACCGAGCCACGCGACUCCAACUGGGCGGCGGCCCCCAAAUUUCGAUCCGGAGUCCCCACGCGGCUCACCUCCUAGAAAGAGAAGGGCCUGUCCUGAGGUUCUUUGGUAGAGCUGACCAGACUCCAGACCUGCAUCCAGAACAUGAAGAACAAGAAAAUCAAGCUUGUCAACGUGGUCCAGGUUAUGCUCUUCCGCCGGAUCCUUCCGUGUCAAUGACAGACAUUUGUUUUGUGGGAGUUCGACUCAGCCAAGCACGAGACGCUGCGAGAGCUCUAUGACACGACACACGAGGACGUCUGGAGGGUGCUGUUCAAGAGCGUCGAGAUUCCUCCCUCCCUCACCGAGGACCGCGGACUCAGCGCAAAGCGCCGCGCCAAUCCGGUAGGCUUUUAUAUCUCUCAGGGUAUUUGUUUGCCCCGGUUUAGUUAUGUGCAGGAUCUAAGCAUCCAUGCCAUUAACAGGACUGGAUAGAGACAGCGAAGCAGCUUGAUUGCCCAGCCUCCCUGCCCGAAGGUCCUGCAGACCCCCUUCUAACGAAGAUGCUGACUCCGGUACCUUACGAGGUGCCGGCAAAGAAGGCCAAGAAGAAGCCCAUAGGGACCCGAAAGGGUCUCCGGCGCAAGGUUGUAUCGGACUCAUCAUCCAAUGACUCCGAGGCGCACUCCUCCCACGGAAACAAGGAGGAGGAGGAGAAAAGUUCUCCCCCCAGCCGAGGGAGACAAGAAAAGGAAGGCCGACCCAUCCGGGGAGGCCGAAGGGUCCAAGAAGGGAAGGACCCUCCCUCCUGACCGCGCCACGAUGGCCGCCGACAUCGACGACAAGUGGCUACCCAGGGACAAGCCCCUGGCGAAGUCGUAAGUGUCCGGACACCAUAGUACUUCAUGGCAUGUUAUAUUGUACUGCCUCUCCUUAUGCCGAACAUGAUUAUGCAGUCCGUCCCAAGCUCAUCUUGACGUACCCUCGUCGAGCGGCUCUUUGGACCCGUCGGAUAUGAACAUCGGUUCUCUUCCGACCGCUUACACCCCUCGCCCUACGGAAAAUGCCGAGGUGUUGUCUCAAAAGGUACCGAGCCAAUUGGAGGUGGUCCUGGGGGCGCCUCGCGGCGACUUCCCGGACCAUGGGUACCAAGGGAGCAAGGCUCCUACGGGCUCCGAGUUCGAGCCCCAGCCGGACACUGCAUCGGAACCUCUGAUGGUUCCGAACUCCGGUAGGCGGUCCCCCGUUAAGGGGGGCCGACCAUCCGUGUCGGUGUCCUCUGUCCAUCCAGAGGCAUCCGACAACUUGCUGGAAGCGCUUCGCAGCGCUUCCAUCGAUGAAGAGCACCGCACUAUCAUGAGCGUGGUGGUCAAAAAGGUUCAGUCCGCCAAAAAUGGACUGACCGAAGCUUGUGCCAGCCUCCUAACAGGCUUUGAGGUAAGCAAUCAAAAUACAAGGAAAUAGUACCACAUAGAUAAUAGCCCCUGAUGCUCUGUUCAGCGUUCAAGAAGAAAAGCCGAAUAGAGGAUCAAAUGAUGACACAUGAGUCUAAUCAGAAUGUAUCUAUGUGUAUGUGCAGGCUUCGCUACUGGCUGCUGCCGCACGUACUGCGGAGGUCUCUGCACUCAAGCAGGACCUAGAGCGGUCCGAGACCGAGCUCGCCCUUACCAAGAGGCAGCUCAAGGAGAACAAAGGUAAGCAAUACCUUUGUCUAUAUAUUAAAAAGAAGUUCGGGUGUAAAGUAAUAGGAUCAUCAUAGAUUUGUCUGGGGCCACGACCGAAGUGGCGACCCUGAGGAAGGCGCUGGCCAAGGCCGAAGACAAAGAGGCCAAGGAACGCAUUGAACGGGAGAAGCAAGAAGCCCGAGUAGGCGAGGUGUAGCAAGAGCUCGAGGCUCUUGCCAAAAAGCAUGAGUCCUUGGAGCUUGACUCUAAAACGCAAGAGUCCGAGCUCGCGCAGGCGCUUGAAAGCGUCCGGAGCGCCAAGGCCGAAGCCCACAAGGCCCUUCAGGAGAUUGACGCGGUGAAGAAGAUAGCGGCGGGUAAGGCAUUAAUUAUGCAAAGCAAGCAUGUGAAGGAGACUUUCCUUUGUCUUACCCGAGUUUGGAGCUCUCCAGGAGCGUUUGCAGAUCUUCCCCGUAGUGUACUGGAUGCCGUGGAGUUUUACCGAGCUGAGGAGGGGAGCUCGACGGAGAAGUUGUUUUGGUCUCAGUAUACUGGGACCGAACACCCCGUGCUCUUGAGCGACCAGCUGAAGCAGUUGGUCGAGCUUCACAAGGCGGUCGAACAGGCCAUGAGGGGCCUUAUAGUCCGGAUGUGGCAUGGCGAGCCCCUGUUCGGCAGCUACUUCGGCCUAGUGAGGCGGCUCGUGGAAGCCUGCCCACGGCUUGAAGUCACAAAGCGAUUCGUCUGCAUCGAAGGUGCACGCAGGGCUUUUGCCCGGGCGAAGGUGUACUAGGCGAAGAUGGACGCCGUGAAGCUGGUGAAGGAGGGGCCGCCGGAGUGCAAGGAGCAUUGCUGCCUCGAGAAUUAUUAUGAUAGUGUCCUGAAGGGUUCCCGCCUACUGGCGGAUGAGUGUGCCAAGGAUGUAAUUUUUGAAUGAACAUGCUCAUGUGAUCGUGUAAUGUGAAAUGAGUUCAUUUGCUCCAUGGGACGCUUUCUUAAUUUAAAAUAUUACCUUCUGUGCGGCCGUUUAUAAAAUCUGAGAGUUGGCCAGUCGUUGGCUUCUGCCCCCAUGUAACUAGUACUGGGUGUUCGGGAUAAAAAUGAGCACUCUUUACCCCAAUUUUGGGUCCUUCGAGGGAGGUGUUCAGCGCAACGAACCAGGCAAUCGGACUAUAAUGCUUUAUCACUCUCACUUAGCCAUAGAAUUCUACAAUUUUAAAUUUGGCGAAGCCCAUGGUAUUCGGAGGGCCGAAUUUGGGGCGCUAUACACGCCUAAGCCGGACAAGGCCGACUCCUCGCCCGAAGCAGAAAAGUCUUUAAGGACUUGAGACCUCUCGAACAGUGACCAGUCUCUCACCUUAUCAUGACAGUCAGUUUUUGGCUUUCUCUACUGAGGUGCUCGUCCGGAAGAACCGGGACACAAUCGUAGUAGUUCUCCCACCGCUACCUUAGCCGAUAUAAUGGAACGUAAGGUACCAAAGCAUGGGACCGGGCAAACCCAACAUUUGACCAAAGACAUGAUUCCGAGCUGAUGCAUAUAAUGCUAUAAGUUUGGGGUGUCACACUGUCGAAAGUGUUCGGACUUCUUGCGCCAUAUUAUGGGGUAAACGAGAGCCCCUGGCGUACUUACCAUACCCGAACGUACGGGUGUGGAUUGUUGUAAAUGGACAUAUAAGAGAGAAAAGAAGAAAAACUUAAGUAAUGCAAUGAUAGACUAUCGAUAUGCAUUGUUAUUUAAAUAAUACGUCGAAGCGUACUGGUACAAGUAGUGCAAUAAGAAGAAAGCAGGAAAACUUGAAAUGUCCUAUCCCAGGGCGAGCUGCACAUGGAUUAGUAAAAAACGGGUAUAUCGAUUAUUAUUAGAGACCACCUGGGGGUUCCUGUGUUCAUCUUAGCUUCUUGCCGCCUUGGUUGUCGCUUCCGGAAUGUGUCCGGCAAUCAUACUGCCGGAAAGGGCUUCCAGAGAGUUAGGCCUUGAAAGAGAGAAGGAAUGAUAAAGGUAUACAACCCCUAGGGCGGUUUAAGCCACAUUGCGGGGCGUGUCCUGAUCGUGCCCCCGCCUAUGUCCAUGGUAUUUUCAGUGUGUAGUUAUGUAUGGGAGGCACGGAUUUUGUCGCUUGACUGGGACUGGGACGGGGGCCGAAUUGCUAGGCGAGCUCUGAUCGUGCCAGGCGAUCCUGUUGCAGCUUGUUCCGGACUCGCUUGAAGGUGUCCGGGGGCUGUGAUGCCGAAUGAGUGGUCUGCCUUAAAAGGCUGCUUUGUGCUUCUGCUGCAAGGGCCGCAGUGUGCUCUUCUGUGCGGAGCAAGCAUUAUGUGUUUCCAUUUACUGUUAUGACCCCCUGGGUCCUGGCAUCUUGAGCUUGAGGUAUGCGUAAUGCGACACUGCAUUAAAUUUCGCGAAUGCUAUCCGUCCGAGCAGUGCAUGAUAACCACUGCGAAACGGGAUGAUAUCAAAGAUUAACUCUUCGCUUCAGAAGUUGUUUGGUGAUCCGUAGACCACUUCUAGUGUGAUUGAGCCUGUGCAAUGGGUCUCUACACCUGGGAUAAAGCCUUUAAAGGUGGUUUUGCUAGGUUUGAUCCUCGAGGGAUCGAUGCCCAUUUUUCGUACUGUAUCCUGAUAGAGCAGGUUCAGGUUGCUGCCGCCGUCCAUAAGGACUCGAGUGAGGUGAAAUCCGUCAAUGAUGGGGUCUAGGACCAGUGCGGCGGAUCCACCAUGAUGGAUGCUGGUGGGGUGGUCCCUGCAAUCGGAGGUGACCGGGAAAGCAGACCAUGGGUUGAACUUUGGGGCGACGGGCUCCAUUGCAUAGACGUCCCUUAGUGCAUGCUUCCUCUCCCUCUUGGGAAUGUGGGUUGCGUAUAUCAUGUUCACCGUCUUCACUUGUGGGGGAAACCCCUUCUGUCCUCCUGUGUUUGGCGGCCGGGGCUCUUCCUCAUCAUCACUAUGCAGCCCCUUGUCCUUAUUUUCGGCAUUUAACUUGCCUGCCUGUUUGAACACCUAGCAUUCUCUGUUGGUGUGAUUGGCUGGCUUGUCGGGGGUGCCGUGGAUUUGACACGAGCGAUCCAGUAUGCGAUCCAAACUGGAUGGAGCCAGAGUAUUUCUUUUAAUUGGCUUUUUCUGCUGACCGGAUCUAGAGCCUUUGAAUCGGGCAUUGACUUUCGUAUCUUCGGUGUUAUCGCCAUUAUUGCGGCACUUUGUUCUGUUACGACGUUGCCUACCAUUAACAUCUUUGGUAUCCGAGGUGUUUGGAUUCCUCGAUGUGUUGUUGCUGCGAGCUAGCCAGCUAUCCUCGCCCGCGCAAAAGCGGGUCAUGAGUGUUGUGAGGGCUGUCAUAGAUUUCGGCUUCUCCUGGCCGAGGUGGCGGGCGAGCCACUCAUCACAGAUGUUAUGCUUGAAUGCCGCUAGGGCCUCUGUGUUCGGACAGUCUACAAAUUGGUUUUUCUUAGUCAGGAACCGAGUCUAGAAUUGUCUGGCCGAUUCUCCUGGCUGCUGGGUUAUAUGGCUCAAGUCAUCAGCAUCCGGUGGCCGCACAUAAGUGCCCUGGAAGUUGUCAAGAAAUGCGUCUUCCAGAUCCUCCCAACUGCUGACGGAUCAACUAGCAAGCUGUUCAGCCAAUGCCGAGCUGGUCCUUUGAGUUUUAGUGGGAGGUACUUGAUGGUGUGUAGAUCAUCACCGCGAGCCAUGUGGAUGUGAAGGAGGAAAUCCUCAAUCCAUACAGCGGGAUCUGUUGUGCCAUUGUAUGAUUCCAUAUUUACGGGUUUGAAACCCUCCGGGAAUUCAUGAUUCAUAACUUCAUCAGUGAAGCAUAGGGGGUGUUCGGAGCCUCUGUGCCGGGCUAUAUCCAGACGCAGUUCAUAUGAAUCUUGUCUGCCGUAUUCGGCCCGGCCGGAUUUACUCUUGGUGUAUCUGACGCAACAAUCACCGUCCCGUGAUGGCGCGUGUGUCCGUGACCCGUAUGUUGACCUUGCAAUUUUUGCCUUACUGUCCAAUACGUCUUGCAGGUCCCUUAUGUUGUCCCGGGCCUUAGUAUUUUUGAUUGAGUGGCGGUGGGGUGCAGGCUGAACUUCAGGCUAAAACGCCUCUCUGGCUCGGCCACGCAGUGGCCGGUCAGCCGCAUCAUACACUGGUGAUUGAGGUUUCAAUGCUUCCUCCUCGAGGUGAGGUAGCAACCUGCGUUUUGGGUAACUCUUGGAGGGGCGCUCGAGUUCAUACUCCUCGGCCGCAAGGACUUCGGUCCACCUGUCUGCUAGCAAGUCUUGAUCAGCUUGAAGUUGUUGCUGCUUUUUCUUUAGGCUAUUUGCCGUGGCCAUAAGCCGGCGCUUGAAGCGCUCUUGCUCGAUGGGGUCCUCAGGCACAAUAAACUCUUCGUCACCGAGGCUCGCCUCAUCUUCAGAGAGAGGCAUGUAAUUGUCCUCCUCCGGUUCUCCAUCUGCUGCCCGCUCUGGGGGCUAGCUUGUUUGUCCUCCGGCUCUACAUCGCGCUGCAGGGGAUUGUUGUUGUCUUCAGCACUAUCCGGAGAGUUAUUAUCUCCUGUGCCGGUAUCACUGCUUUUGUUGUGGCGGGACUUAGAGCGGUGCCGCUGACGUCGGCGUUUGGGUUGCUUCUUGGAGGGGUCAUCCUCUGCUGUCUCAUCGCCAUUGCCUUCUUUGGGGGUGUCCACCAUGUAUAUAUCAUAUGCUGAGGUGGCGGUCUAGCACGCUGUGGGCGGUGGUUCCUGUUCGUCUCCGGCGUCGUCGUCCAUACCAUUGAAGUCCUUGGAGGCGAAGUCGAGCAUGUCGGUUAAGUCGUAGACAGUGGCUACUAAGUGGGUGGUGGGUGGGCGGCGGAUUUCUUCAUCCUCCGCAUCCCAUUCUAGCCAGACAUAGUUCGGCCAAGGUUCUCCUGAUAGGGAGAGAGACCUUAAUGAAUUUAGCACAUCACCGAAGGGCGAGUGCUGAAAGAUAUCCGCGGAGGUGAACUCCAUGAUCGGCGCCCAGUCGGAUUCGACGGGUACGGAUGUAAGCAGCUCGGAGUCCGUGGCCGGAGAUGAAUCCAAUGGUUCGGCGACACGGCUCUCAUAAGGGGUGAAGUCAGUAUCCGGCUCUAUCGCCACUGAGAGUGCGGCCUCCUCAGCGGGGUCCAUCCCUCCGCUCUCGUAUGGCGCGACUUGCUCCGGAUUAAUGGCCGGAGUAGUUGAAGACACGAUCUCCCGAACAUUGUAUGAUGGCAGAGUUACGUCAUGCUCGUCGCGACUGUGCGGCGUGUCCGACAUGGGCUCGAAUCCAUCAAAGAUCAAGUCUCCGCGGAUGUUGGCCGUGUAAUUCAAGUUUCCAAAUCUGACCUGAUGGCCAGGGGCGUAGCUCUCGAUCUGCUACAGAUGGCCAAGCGAAUUGGCCCGCAGUGCGAAGCCGCCGAAUACGAAGAUCUGUCCGGGGAGGAAAACCUCACCCUGGACCGCAUCGUUACCGAUGAUCGAAGGAGCCAUCGAGCCUUAUGGCGACGGCAUAGUGGAACUCUCAAUGAAAGCACCAAUGUCGGUGUCAAAACCGGCGGAUCUCGGGUAGGGGGUCCCGAACUGUGUGUCUAAGGCGCAUGGUAAGAGGAGGCAGGGGACACGAUGUUUACCUAGGUUCAGGCCCUCUUGAUGGAGGUAAUACCCUACGUCCCACUUGAUUGUUCUUGAUGAUAUGAGUAUUACAAGAGUUGAUCUACCAUGAGAUCGUAGAGGCUAAACCCUAGAAGCUAGCCUAUGGUAUGAUUGUAUGUUGUCCUAUGGACUAAACCCUCCAGUUUAUAUAGACACCGGAGGGGGCUAGGGUUACACAAGGUCGGUUACAAGGGAGGAGAUAUACAUAUCUGUAUUUCCUAGCUUGCCUUCCACGCCAAGGAGAGUCCCAUCCGGACACGAGACGAAGUCUUCAAUCUUGAAUCUUCAUAGUCCAACAGUCCGGCCAAAGGAUAUAGUCCGGCUGUCCGGAGACCCCCUAAUCUAGGACUCCCUCACCGGCGCACCCAAUGGGUCGUGGACUCACCUUCCUCUUGCUUGCAAUUAGUCAAAUCCACAAUUGACAUGGGAUGCUUGCAUGUGUCUUUGAAAUUCUGAAUAAACCAGGCCUUUAGCUAUGCCCAUGAACCAAUGGAAUUAGGCGGCAGUCCCUUUAACCAAGUUCGGGCCGUCGCGUCCAACAUCAUGGUGAAGUACUUGGCCAUUGCAGAGUCACUGACCUCCAACAGUUCCAUGGCCAUCUCAUAACUUUCAAUCCACGCCCGGGCUGUAAAUCGGGCGUGUAAUUAGGCACCUUUCGAGGCCCCUUGAAAUCCUUAGGCAAACGUUCAUUACGCGGCAUCGGCACCAAGCAAGGGACACCUCCAGUCCUCGUGGUCAUGCCUUCUUCAAGACAAGUCGUCGGAUAGACCGGAAAAGACUGGUAAGCCGCCCGCUGAGCCACCUACUCAGCUGCCUGUUGAACCGUCCACUCAACCUCUUGGCGAAUCCUGUCCUGGUCAACCAAGUUAGGAGCUCCAUCACACGCCGGGUCAUGCCCGCACGGCUGGUCAUGGCGCCAGGCGUUGCUUGAAACAGCUGCUGAAUCUAUAUGACUGCUAUAACUCGGGCUCUGGCUUGGGUGAGGGGUCGAAUGAAUCCUGUCUCGACUAAUGCUGCGCCAGAGCCGUCUGAAGAAGUUCUCUAACCCUUCAUGUUUCAAUUGUCGUCGGAGAGUCGCCCUCCGCCGGGAGAGUCGUCAAUCAUGCCGCCGCAGCGAUCAUGUUUUCCAAAGGGUUGGAAUAAUGACCCGGUGGUGUUGGUACAUAAUGAGGUGAAUCAGUAUUCAUACGAGGAGGUUCCACCGCCCGUGGUUGAACCAGCGUUCCUGCCCCGGGUGUUGCAACCCGGGUUACCUCUGGCGGGUUGCUAGGGCCUGCACCGGGUGUGCGGAAGAGGUUUCUAGGAUCAUAAGUCAGAGGCAGACGGGAUUGAGUUUUCUGGUGCCUUCUCCUCAUGACCUCAUUUGAUGCAUUCAAAUCCAUCGUAAGCUGGAAAGCCUCUGAUUGAAUCUGCUGAGCCCGGGCAUCCAAAGUCGCCCGCUCUGCGGCCAUCCCGACGUCCUCCACUGCUAGGUUUUCCUUGGCUUGUGCUACCUCCUCACGUAACCGUGCCACUUCUGCAUCAUGUUGAGCCUGAUCCGCCGGGUUAACCACGACAGUUAACAGGGCUGUCAUCCUAUCCAUGAGAUCCAUCAGUACGUGAGUCGGCGGGUGCGCAGGGCCUCCUGCCCCGGCCGCCGUUGACCCGGAAGUUAUCGCUGCCGCAGCCGUAGAGUUUUGAAUGGGUUGAGUGCCAGUCAUGAAGAUCCCUGCCCUGCUUGGUGAUACAUCUCCAACGUAUCUAUAAUUUUUGAUUGUUCCAUGCUAUAUAAUAUUAUGUUUUGGACAUUAUUGGGCUUUAUUAUACACUUUUAUAUUAUUUUUGGGACUAACCUAUUAACCGGAGGCCCAGCCCAGAAUUGCUAUUUUUUUCCUACUUUAGGGUUUCGCAGAAAAAGAAUAUCAAACGGAGUCCAAACAAAAUGAAACCUUUGGGAACGUGAUUUUCGGAACGAACAUGAUCCAGAGGACUUGGACCCUACGUCAAGCAAUCAACGAGGAAGGCACGAGGUAGGGGGGCGCCCUCCACCCUCGUGGGCCCCCUGUUGCUCCACCGACGUACUCCUUCCUCCUAUAUAUACCUACGUACCCCCAAACUACCAGAUACGGAGCCAAAACCCUAAUUCCACCACCGUAACUUUCUAUAUCCACGAGAUCCCAUCUUGGGGCCUUUUCCAGAGCUACGCCGGAGGGGGCAUCGAUCAUAGAGGACUUCUACAUCAACACCAUAGCCUCUCCGAAGAAGUGUGAGUAGUUUACUUCGGACCUACGGGUCCAUAGUUAUUAGCUAGAUGGAUUCUUCUCUCUUUUUGGAUCUCAAUACAAAGUUCUCCCCCUCUCUUGUGGAGAUAUAUUCGAUGUAAUCUUCUUUUGCGGUGUGUUUGUUGAGACCAAUGAAUUGUGGGUUUAUGAUCAAGUUUAUCUAUGAACAAUAUUUGAAUCUUCUCUGAAUUCUUUUAUGUAUGAUUGGUUAUCUUUGCAAGUCUCUUCGAAUUAUCAGUUUGGUUUGGCCUACUAGAUUGAUCUUUCUUGGAAUGGGAGAAGUUCUUAGCUUUGGGUUCAAUCUUGCGGUGUCCUUUCCCAGUGACAUUAGGGGCAGCAAGGCACGUAUUGUAUUGUUGCCAUCAAGAAUAAUAAGCUGGGGUUUAUAUCAUAUUGCAUGAGUUUAUUCCUCUACAUCAUGUCAUCUUGCUUAAAGCGUUACCCUGUUCUCUUGAACUUAAUACUCUAGAUGCAUGCUGGAUAGCAGUCGAUGUGUGGAGUAAUAGUAGUAGAUGCAGGUAGGAGUCGGUCUACUUGUCUCGGACGUGAUGCCUAUUGAGGGAGUCCUGGCUUAGGGGGUAUCCGGACAGAUGGAUUAUAUGCUUUGGCCGGACUGUUGGACUAUGAAGAUACAAGGUUGAAGACUUCGUCCCGUGUCCGGAUGGGACUCUCCUUGGCGUGGAAGGCAAGCUUGGCAAUAUGGAUGUGUAGAUCUCCUUCCUUGUAACCGACUCUGUGUAACCCUAGCCCCCUCCGAUGUCUAUAUAAACCGGACGGUUUAGUCCGUAGGACCAACAGACAAUCAUACCAUAGGCUAGCUUUUAGGGUUUAGCUUCUUCGAUCUCGUGGUAGAUCAACUCUUGUAACACUCAUAUUAUCAAGAACAAUCAAGCAAGACGUAGGGUAUUACCUCCAUCAAGAGGGCCCGAACCUGGGUAAACAUCGUGUCCCCCGCCUCCUGUUACCAUCCGCCUUAGACGCAUAGUUAGGGACCCCCUACCCGAGAUCCGCCAGUUUUGACACCGACAUUGGUGCUUUCAUUGAGAGUUCCUCUAUGUCGUCAUCAUUAGGCUUGAUGGCUCCUUCAAUCAUCGAUAGCGAUGUAGUCCAGGGUGAGACCUUUCUCCCCGGACAGAUCUUUGUAUUCGGCGGCUUCGCACUGUGGGCCAGCUCGCUUGGCCAUCUGGAGCAGAUCGAGAGUUACGCCCCUGGCCACCAGGUCAGGUUUGGAAGCUUAAACUACAUGGCCGAUAUCCGCGGAGACUUGAUCUUCGACGGAUUCGUGCCCCUGCCGAGUGCGCCACAUGGUCACGAUGAGCAUGAUUUAGCUCUACCAUUGGACAGUGUUCAGGAGAUCGCACCAGCAACCGCUCCGACCCUCAAUUCGGAGCCAAUUGCGCCAUCCAUGGACGGGUGGAUAGACCCCGCCACGGAGGCCGCAUACUCAGCGGCGAUCGAGCCGAGUAUUGACCUUACCCUUCAUGGGAGCCGUGACGCCGAACUGCCGGAUUCUUCCCCGGCCACAGACUCCGAAUCGCCUGCGCCCGUGCCUAACGAAUCCGACUGGGCGCCGAUCAUGGAGUUCACCUCCGCGAAUAUCUUUUAGCACUCGCCCUUUGACGGCAUACUGAACUCAUUAAGGUCUCUCUCCUUGUCAGGAGAGUCCUGGCUGAACUAUGUCCGGUAGGAUUGGGAUGCGGAUGACAAAGAAAUUCGCCGCCCACCCACCACCCACUUAGUAGCCACUGCCGACAAUUUGACCGACAUGCUCGACUUCGACUCCGAAGACAUCGACGGUAUGGACGACGAUGCAGGAGACGAACAAGAACCACUGCCCACAGGGCACUGGACAGCCACCUCAUCAUAUGAUAUAUAUAUAUAUAUGGUGGACACACCCAAAGAAGGCAAUGGCGUCGGGACAGCGGAGGAUGACCCCUCCAAGAAGCAACCCAAGCGCCAACGUCAGCGGCGCCGAUCUAAGUCUUGCCAAAGCAAAAGCGGUGAUACCAGCACAGGAGAUAAUAGCACUCCGGACAGUGCCGAAGAUAACGACAAUCCCCUCCAGCAAGAUUUAGAGCAGGAGGAUGGAGAAGCCAGCCCUCCCGAGAGAGCGGCAAAUGGAGAGGCGGAGGAUGAUAAUUACAUGCCUCCCUUCAAAUACGAGGCAAGCCUCGACGAUGACGAAUUUGUCAUGCCUGAGGAUCCCGUCGAGCAAGAGCACUUCAAGCGCCGGCUUAUAGCCACGGCAAAUAGCCUUAAGGAAAAGCAACAACAACUUCAAGCUGAUCAAUAUUUGCUAGUUGACAGAUGGACAGAAGUCCUUGCGGCCGAGGAAUAUGAACUCGAACGCCCCUCCAAGAGUUACCAAACCGCAGUUUGCUAUCCCGACUGAAGGAGGAAGCAUUAAAACCUACAUCUCUAGCGUAUGAUGCGGCUGAUCGGCCACCUCGUGGCCGUGACAAAGAGGCAUUUCAGCCAAAAGCUCAGCCCGCACCCCGACGCCACUCAAAUAAAAAUGUCAAGGCAUGGGGAAACACGCUAGACCUGCAAGGCGUAUUGGAGGACAAAGCAAAAAACGCAAGAUCGAUCUACAAAUCACGAGGGUGCGCCACUACGCGAGAUGAUAACUGUCACACCGGAUACAGUAAAAGUAAAUCCGACCGGGCCGAACACAUCGGACAAGACUCAUUUGAGCUGCUUCGCGAUAUAGCCCAGUACAGAGGUGCCGUACACCCACUAUGCUUCACAGACGAAGUAAUGGAUCACCAAAUCCCAGAAGGUUUCAAACCCGUAAAUAUCGAAUCAUACGACAGUACAACAGAUCCUGCGGUAUGGAUCAAGGACUUCCUCCUGCACAUCCACAUGGCCCGCGGUGACAAUCUACACGCUAUCAAAUACCUACCACUCAAACUCAAAGGACCAGCUCGGCAUUGGCUCAACAGCCUGCCAGCAGAAUCCAUUGACUGUUGGGAAGAUCUGGAAGCCGCAUUCCUCGAUAACUUCCAGGGAACUUAUGUGCGACCACCAGAUGCCGAUGACUUGAGCCACAUAAUUCAGUAGCCAGAGGAAUCGGCCAGGCAAUUCUGGACACGGUUCCUAACAAAGAAAAAUCAAAUCGUCGACUGUCCGGAUGUAGAGGCCCUAGAAGCUUUUAAGCACAACAUCCGCGACGAGUGGCUAGCCCGGCACCUUGGCCAGGAAAAGCCGAAAUCUAUGGCAGCCCUCACGACACUCAUGACCCGCUUCUGCGCGGGAGAGGACAGCUGGCUGGCUCGCAGCAAUAACAUAUCAAAGAACCAUGGUACUUUGGAUACCAAGGAUAGCAAUGGCAGGUCACGUCGCAACAAACACAAGCGCCGCAUCAACAGCGAUAGUACCGAGGAUACGACAGUCAAUGCCGGAUUCAGGGGCUCUAAACCCGGUCAACGGAAAAAGCCAUUCAAAAGAAGCACUCCAGGCCCGUCUAGUUUGGACCGUAUACUCGAUCACUCAUGUCAAAUACAUGACACCCCCGACAAGCCAGCCAACCACACCAACAGGGAAUGUUGGGUGUUCAAGCAUGCCGACAAGUUAAAUGCCCGAAACAAGGAUAAGGGGCUACAUAGAGAUAACGAGGAGCCACGGCCGCCGAACACUGGAGGACAAAAGAGGUUCCCCCCACAAGUGCGGACGGUGAACAUGAUAUACGCAACCCACAUCCCCAAGAGGGAGCGGAAGCGUGCGCUAAGGGACGUAUAUGCGUUGGAGCCAGUCGCCCCAAAGUUCAACCCAUGGUCCUCCUGUUCGAUCACCUUCGAUCACAGGGACCACCCCACUAGUUUCCGUCAUGGAGGAUUCGCCGCACUGGUCCUAGACCCAAUCAUCGAUGGAUUUCACCUCACUCGAGUCCUUAUGGACGGCGACAACAGCCUGAACCUGCUUUAUCAGGACACAGUGCGCAAAAUGGGUAUAGAACCCUUAAGGAUCAAACCCACAAAAACGACCUUCAAAGGCGUCAUACCAGGUGUAGAGGGCCAUUGCACAGGCUCAGUCACACUGGCAGUGGUCUUCGGAUCCCCGGAUAACUUCUGAAGCGAGGAGUUAAUCUUCGAUAUAGUCCCGUUCUGCAGUGGCUAUCACGCACUGCUCGGGCGAACCGCAUUUGCGAGAUUCAAUGCAGUACCGCAUUAUGCAUACCUCAAGCUCAAGAUGCCACGACCUCGGGGGGUCAUCACAGUCAAUGGAAAAACAGAGCGCUCUCUCCGCAUGGAGGAGCACACUGCGACCCUCGCAGUAGAAGCACAAAGUAGCCUCUUAAGGCAAUCCACCAGUUCAGCGAUUAAACACCCGGACACCUUCAAGCGCGCCCGAUUAAUCGGCAACAAGACCGCCUGGCACGUUCCGAGCUCACGUAGUAAUGCGGCCCCCACCCCAGUCCCAGCCAAACGGCGAAAUCCGUGCCACACGUACAUAAUUACGCAUUGAAAAUACCAUGGGCAUAGGUGGGGAGGGGGGCACAACUAUGGCACGCCCCAAGACGCGGCUCAACCGCACUAGGGGCUUCCCACUUUGUUAUUUUUCUCUCUUUCCGGACUUUACUCUCUGGAAACCCCGUCCGGCAGUACGAUUGCCGGACACACGAUGCAACAACCAAGGAGGCAGAAAGCUAUGUCGCACCAUGGAACUCCCAGGUGGUCUCUAAUAACGAGUAAAAUACCUGCUUUAAAUACCAUUCCCUAGCUUGCCCUUGGAGGGGACAUGUCAAAUAGUCCUACUUUUUGCUUAUCGCACUAAUUGUAUCAUUCUGCUUCGACGCACCUUUUUGAAUAAACAAUUCAUAGCACUAGACUAUUACCGCAUUCUCUAUUCUUUUUUAUAUAUAUGUUCAUUCAUGACAUUCAGCACCUGUACACUCUGGUACGGCCAAUAUGCCAGGGGCUUAAGCGUACCCCAUAAUACGGCGUGAGAAGUCCGAACACUUUCGACAGUGCGGCACCUCGAACUUAUAGCAUUACAUGCAUCAGCUGCGAAUCAUGUCUUGGGUCAAUAGUUGGAUUUUCCCGGCUCCCAUGUUUUGGUACCUUACGUUCCGCUAUAUCGGCUAAGGUAGCACUGGGAGAACAACUGCGAUUGUGCCUCGGUUCAUCUGGGCUAAGCACCUCAGUAGAGAAAGCUAAAACUGACUGUCAUGAUAAGGCGAGAGCUGGUCGCUAUUCGAGAGGUCUCGAGUCCCUAAAGACUUAUGCCGCUUAGGGCGAGGAGUCGGCUUUGUUUGGCUUAGGCGUGUAUAGCGCCCCGAAUUCGGCCUUCCGAAUACUAGGGGCUUCGCCAAAAUUUAAAAUUGUAGACUUCUAUGGCUAAGUGAGAGUGAUAAAGCAUUAUAGUCCGAUUGCAUUGUUCGUUGAGCUGAGCACCUCCCUCGAAGGACCCAACAAUGGGAAAAAGAGUGCUCGGAUUUAUCCCGAACACCCUAGCACUCGUGGGAUGGGGGCAGAAGCCGACGACUGGCCAUCUCUCAGAUUUGAUAAACAGCCGCACAGAAGGUAAUAUUUUAAAUUCAAACAAGCGUUGCAUAGAGCACAUGAACAAGUUUUCAUGACACAGGAUCACACGAGCAAGUUCAUUCAAAAACUACAUCCUUCGCACACUCGUCCGCCACAUGGCGGGCACCCUUCAGGACACCCUCAUAAUACAUCUCAGGGUGGCGAUGCUCCUUGCCCUGCGGCGGCCCCUCCUUCACCAGCUUCUCGGCGUCCAUCUUAGCCCAGUGCACCUUCGCAUGGGCAAAAGCCCAGCGUGCACCUUCGAUGCAGACGAACCGCUUUAUGACUUCCAGCCGUGGGCAGGCAUCCACAAGCCGCCUCACCAGGCCGAAUUAGCUGUUGGGGAGGGAGUCGCCAGGCCACAUCCGGAUUAUAAGGCCCCUCAUGGCCUAUUCGGCCGCCUUGUGCAGCUCGACCAGUUGCUUCAGCUGGUCGCUCACAGGCAUCGGGUGUUCAGUCCCAGUGUACUGAGACCAGAACAACUUCUCCGUCGAGCUUCCCUCCUCGGCCCGAUAGUACUUUGCGGCAUCCGACAUGCUGCGGGGCAAAUCUGCGAAUGCUCCUGGAGAGCUCCGGACUCGGGUAAGUAAUAAGUAAUUUACUUUCACAUGCUUGCUUUGCAUAAUGAAUGCCUUACCCGCCGCUAUCUUCCUCAUCGCCUCAAUUUCCUGGAGGGCCUUUUGGGCUUCAAUCUUGGCAUGCUUUGUGCUCUUGAGGGCCGCGGCAAGCUCGGACUCGCGUCUUCGAGUCAAGCUCCAAAGUCUCGUGCUUCUUCACGAGAGCCUGGAGCUCUUGCUGCACCUAGCCCACCCGUGCUUCUUGUUUUCUCCCGCUCAGUGCGCUCCUCGGCCGCUUUGUUUUCGGCCUUGGACAACGAUUGCUUCAGGGUUUCCACUUUGAUCAUGGCCCCUGGCACACCCAUGAUGAUCCUGUCAUUUUGCAACCACAUCUUUUUUUAUAUAUAUAUACAAGGUAUUACUUACCUUUGUUCUCCUCGAGCUGCCUCUUGGCAAGGCCGAGCUCUUUCUCGGACUGCUCGAGGUUCUGCAUCAGUGCGGCGACCUCCGCAGUCAGUGCGGCAGAGGUCAGCAGCGAAGCCUGCAUACGCAUCCAGACAUACUUAUAUUAGACUCUAGCAGAUAUUAUUUGAUCCUCUAUUCAGUUUUCUUUGUGAACACCAAACAAAGCAUCAGGGGCUACUGUCUAUGCGGUAAUAUUUUCCUAUAUUUUAAAUACUAACCUCAAAGCCUGUUAGAAGGCUGGCACAGGCUUCAGUCAGUCCACUCUUGGCAGACUGAAACUUCUUGAUCACCGCACUCAUAAUAGUAUGGUGCUCUUGGUCGAUGGAAGCGCCGCGAAGCGCUCCCAGCAGGUUGUCUGGUGCCUCUCGAUGGACAGAGGUCACCGGCAUGGGUGGCUUGCCCCCCUUGGCAGGGGGGCGCCUACCGGAGUCCGGAACCACUGGAGGUUCCGGCGCGGUGUUCGGCUGAGGGCCGAACUUGGAGCCCUUGGGAGUCUUGCUCCCUUUGCGCCUGGAGUCCGGAAGGUCCCCUUGAGGCGCCUCCAGGACUACCUCCCCUCGGUUCGGUGCCCCUUGAGACAAUACCUCAACAUUGUCCAUAGGGCGAGGAGACGAGGCAGAUGGAAGUGGAUCGCUAUCCAUAUCUGACGAGUCCAAGGAACCGUCCGACGAGGAUACGUCGAUACGGGCUCGGGCAGACUGCAUGAUCAUAUUCGACGUUAGGAGAAGUAGUGCAACAAAAGUAUGCUAUGAGUUACUCUGGUAUCCGAAUACUUAUGACUUCGCCAGGGGCUUGGCCCUAAGUAACCACUAGUCUUCGCCGUCGGCGGUGGUGGUGGAACAGUCCGGAAGGAGAGUCCUUCCCAGCUUGGACCCUUCGGCCUCCCCGGUUGGGGCGGCCUUCCUUUUCUUGUCUCCCCCGACUGGAGGGGGAGAAUCUUCAUCUUCCUCCUCCUCAUUUUCACGGGAGGAGUGCGUCUCAGAGUUAUCGGACAAUGAGUCCGAUACCACCUGGCGCCGGGAACUCUUUCGGGUUCCCAUGGCCUUCUUCUUGGUCUUCUCCGGCACCUCAUAAGGAGCCGGAGUCCGCAUCUCCGUCAGGAGAGUGUCUGCAGGGUCUUUGGGCAGAGGGGUCGGACAGUUAAUCUGCUCCAAUGUCUCCACCCAGUCCUAUCAAAGGCAUGGGAGCUCAGACCCCGCACAUGGUUAAGCUAUGGGAAAUAAAUACCUUACCAGAUGUACAGAACUUACCGAAUUCGCAGGGCGCUUCGCGCUUAGCCCGCGGUCCUCCGUAUGAGAAGGGGGGGACCUCGGCGCCCUUGAACAGCACCUUCCAGAUGUCCUUAUGUGUCGUGUCGAAGAGCUCGCGUAGAGUCCGGUGUUGGGUCGGGUCGAACUCCCAUAAGUUGAAAGCCCGUUGUUGACACGGGAGGAUCCGGCAGAAGAGCAUGACCUGGACUAUGUUGGCAAGCUUGAGUUUCUUGCCUAUCAUGUUCCGGAUACACUUCUGGAGUCCGUCCAGCUCCAUCGAUGAGCCCCAGGACAGGCCCUUCUCCUUCCAGGAAGUGAGCCGAGNNNNNNNNNNNNNNNNNNNNNNNNNNNNNNNNNNNNNNNNNNNNNNNNNNNNNNNNNNNNNNNNNNNNNNNNNNNNNNNNNNNNNNNNNNNNNNNNNNNNNNNNNNNNNNNNNNNNNNNNNNNNNNNNNNNNNNNNNNNNNNNNNNNNNNNNNNNNNNNNNNNNNNNNNNNNNNNNNNNNNNNNNNNNNNNNNNNNNNNNNNNNNNNNNNNNNNNNNNNNNNNNNNNNNNNNNNNNNNNNNNNNNNNNNNNNNNNNNNNNNNNNNNNNNNNNNNNNNNNNNNNNNNNNNNNNNNNNNNNNNNNNNNNNNNNNNNNNNAUUGCCACCCUUUUAUGGUCUCCACGUAGGAGCCCUCGAGCCAUGUAACGUUGGGCAUUUUGCCCACCAUGGCUCUGCCGCAUUCCUCUUGUUGGCCGCCUACUACCUUCGGUUUGGCAUUGAAGGUCUUCAGCCACAGGCCGAAGUGGGGCCGGAUGCGGAGGAAAGCCUCGCAUACGACAAUGAACGCCGAGAUGUUGAGGAUGAAAUUCGGGCAGAUCAUGGAAGUCCAGCCCAUAAUAGAACAUAAGGCCGCGGACGAAUGGAUGGAGGGGAAACCCCAGUCCGCGGACGAAGUGGGUGAGGAAAACCACCCUUUCGUGAGGUUCCGGGGUAGGGACGAUCUGCCCCGCGGCUGGCAGCUGGUGCGCGAUAUCCGCGACUAAGUAUCCGGCCCCGCGCAGCUUUUUGAUGUCUCCCUACGUAACGGAGGAGACCAUCCACUUGCCUGCCGCUCCGGACAUGUUUGGAGAGGGUUGAGGAAAAGGAUGUGGACUUGUGCGCUGGAGCUCGAGUGCGCGAGAAUGGAUGAGCAAGGAGGAAGAAGGCGUGGGUAGAAAAAGGCGAACCCUUAUCCCUUUAUAAGGGCGGACUAAACUAUGCACCCCCACCAGCCUGGUAAAACUCGCUUAUCCCCCAAGCGCCGUAAUUGAUGGCGCAGUUGGGCUACCCACGUCCGUAUUGAUGGGAAUCCCAUAAUAAGAGGACACAAUCUCUGCUUCGACAAGACGUGCCAAGGAAACUGCCUCGCGAAACACGCUGAGGUUGGUUGUGAAAAACAAUUCGAAUGGUGACCUGGCUGUGGUGUGGUAUCACACUGCGGAAUGCCUCGGCAGAUUAGAUUUGUGGAAAUAUUAUUCUCUCUAUGGUUGUAUGUGGAAUUUGUUUUGCAGAGCCGGACACGAUCCUCGUGUUCAAAAUCUUCUAUGAAGUAUUCGGAGGAGGAACCCGCCUUGCAAUGCCGAAGACAAUCUGCGCGCCGGACUCAUCGUCAUUGAAGCCUGGUUCAGGGGCUACUGAGGGAGUCCUGGAUUAGGGGGUAUCCAGACAGCCGGAUUAUAUCCUUUGGCCGGACUAUUGGACUAUGAAGAUACAAGAUUGAAGACUUCGUCCCGUGUCCGGAUGGGACUCUCCUUGGCGUGGAAGGCAAGCUUGGCAAUAUGGAUGUGUAGAUCUCCUUCCUUGUAACCGACUCUGUGUAACCCUAGCCCCCUCCGUGUCUACAUAAACCAGAGGGUUUAGUCCGUAGGACCAAGAGACAAUCAUACCAUAGGCUAGCUUUUAGGGUUUAGCCUCUUCGAUCUCGUGGUAGAUCAACUCUUGUAACACUCAUAUUAUCAAGAACAAUCAAGCAGGACGUAGGGUAUUACCUCCAUCAAGAGGGCUCGAACCUGUGUAAACAUCGUGUCCCCCACCUCCUGUUACCAUCCGCCUUAGACACACAGUUUGGGACCCCCUACCCGAGAUCCGCCGGUUUUGACACCGACACCUAUAUGCAUGAUCAUACCUAGAUAUUCUCAUAACUAUGCUCAACUCUGUCAAUUGCUCAACAGUAAUUUGUUCACCCACCAUAAAUACUUAUGCUCUUGAGAGAAGCCACUAGUGAAACCUAUGGCCCCGGAUCUAUCUUCCAUCAUAUUAAUCUUCCAAUACUUAGUUAUUUCCUUUGCCAUUUAUUUUACUUUGCAUCUUUAUCAUAAAAAUACCAAAAAUAUUAUCUUAUCAUAUCUAUCAGAUCUCACUCUCGUAAGUGACCGUGUAGGGAUUGACAACCCCUUAUCAUGUUGGUUGCGAGGAUUUAUUUGUUUGUGUAGGUGCGAGGGACUUGUGCGCGGCCUCCUACUGGAUUGAUACCUUGGUUCUCAAAAACUGAGGGAAAUACUUACGCUACUUUGCUGCAUCACCCUUUCCUCUUCAAGGGAAAACCAACGCAGUGUUCAAGAGGUAGCAAGAAGGAUUUCUGGCGCCGUUGUCGGGGAGGUUUGGGCAAGACAAGUCAAGAUUUGACUCCCGACAAUGAGUCACUUGUGGCGCCGUUGCAAGUCAAGACAUACCAAGUACCCAUCACAAACCCUUAUCUCCUGCAUUACAUUAUUUGCCAUUUGCCUCUCAUUUUCCUCUCCCCCACUUCACCCUUGCCGCUUUAUUCGCCCUCUUGCUCCAUCCUCCCUCUCUUUCUCUAUUUUCCUCCUUUUGCCUGUUUCUUGUUCGCUUGUGUGUUGGAUUGCUUGCUUGUCAUUAUGGCUAGUCCCCUAUCUUCUCCGUUGUCUCCCGAAAAUGAAGUUCUUAAUUUUAAGCAAAGGGAAGGAGAAAACCUAAAAGAUGCUUGGUAUAGAAUUUGCAAUGCUCAAAAUAGAUCUACCAGGAAGCAAUCUACUUCUAUUCUUCUCUGCAAUUUUUAUGUAGGUGCUAUUCCUUGGCAUAGAUAUGUCCUUAAUACCAUCGCCGAAGGGAAUUUCUUGGGUAGCAACACUUUCGAUUCCUAUAAUGCUAUGAUAGAUUUGUUUGGCUCACCCCCUCUUUUGGUUAAUGGAACUAUGUUAACUUUCGAGCAUGUAAUGCAAAAACUUGAAAUUAUUGAAAAUAAAGUUGCUACCGUUGAGUUAAUUGAAAAUUUCGAUAAAAAGAUCCACAACCAAAUUACCCAAUAUGGAUCUAAAGUAGGAGUAACGUUGAAAAAUAUUAAAGAGAAGGAACCUAUAGUUAUUGAAAGAAUAAAUCAUGAUUCCACUAGAAUCGAUAAACUUGAGGGUAUCAUUACCAACUUGGGAACCGCUUUUUCUUCCGUAAAGAAUACUCCAAGUCCUCCAACUAAAAUUGCCAAGCUUAUGUAUGUUCCUAAAAAUAAGGGUGAAUCCUCUAGCAAAGAAACUGUGGAUCUCAAUUAUAAGUAUUCAUCCUAAUCUUUUUGCUAUCAUUAAGGAACCAUUUGCUACUAAUGAAUUUUUCGAUCUUGUGCCUAGAAGUUUGAUUAUUUAUGGAUUAUGGAACAAGGAGUGGAAAGAGCCUAAGCUUGGGGAUGCCCAUGGCACCUCAAGAUAAUUUCUAAGGACACCUAAAAGCCAAAGCUUGGGGAUGCCCCGGAAGGCAUCCCCUCUUUUGUCUACUUCCAUCGGUAACUUUACUUGGAGCUAUAUUUUUAUUUACCACAUGAUAUGUGUUUUGCUUGGAGCGUCUUGUAUUAUUUGAGUCUUUAUUUGUUAGUUUUCCACAAUCAUCCUUGCUGUACACACCUUUUGAGAGAGACACACACGAUUCGGAAAUUGUUAGAAUACUCUAUGUGCUUCACUUAUAUCUUUUGAGUUAUAUAGUUUUUUCUCUAGUGCUUCACUUAUAUAUUUUAGAGCACGUUGGUGUAUUUGUUUUAUAGAAACUAUUGUUCUCUCGUGCUUCACUUGGAUUAUUUUGAGAGUCCUACAAAACAGCAUGGUAAUUUGCUUUAACUAUGUUAUGCAUUCAAGAUUAAUAAAAAAAUUCUUAUGAGUGUGUUGAAUACUAUGAGAAGUUUGAUACUUGAUAAUUGUUUUGAGAUAUGGAGAUGGUAAUAUUAGAGUCAUGCUAGUCGAGUAGUUGUGAAUUUGAGAAAUACUUGUGUUAAAGUUUGUGAUUCCCGUAGCAUGCACGUAUGGUGAACCGUUAUGUGAUGAAGUCAGAGCAUGAUUUAUUUAUUGAUUAUCUUCCUUAUGAGUGGCGAUCGGGGACGAGCGAUGGUCUUUUCCUACCAAUUUAUCCCCCUAGGAGCAUGCGUGUAAUACUUUGCUUUGAUAACUUGUAGAUUUUUGCAAUAAGUAUAUGAGUUCUUUAUGACUAAGGUUGAGUCCAUGGAUCAUACACACUUUUCUUCCUUCCACCAUUGCUAGCCUCUCUAAUACCGCGCACCUUUCACCGAUAUCAUACACCCACCAUAUACCCUCGUCAAAACAGCCACCAUACCUACCUAUCAUGGCAUUUCCAUAGCCAUUCCGAGAUAUAUUGCCAUGCAACUUUCCACCUUUCCGUUUACUAUGACACGCUCCAUCAUUGUCAUAUUGCUUUGCAUGAUCAUGUAGUUGACAUUGUAUUUGUGGCAAAGCCACCAUUCAUAAUUCUUUCAUACAUGUCACACUUGAUUCAUUGCAUAACCUGGUACACCGUCGGAGGCAUUCACAUAGAGUCAUAUUGUGUUCUAAGUAUUGAGUUGUAAUUGUUUAUUUGUAAGUAAAUAAAAGUGUGAUGAUCAUCAUUUUUAGAGCAUUGUCCCAAGUGAGGAAAGGAUGAUGGAGACUAUGAUUCCCCCACAAGUCGGGAUGAGACUCCGGACGAAAAAAAGAGGCCAUAAAAAAAGAGGCCCAAAUAAAAAAAUAUGAGAGAAAAAGAGAGAAGGGAUAAUGCUACUAUCCUUUUACCACACUUGUGCUUCAAAGUAGCACCAUGAUCUGCAUAAUAGAGAGUCUCCUAUGUUAUCACUUUCAUAUACUAGUGGGAAUUUUUUGUUAUAGAACUUGGCUUGUAUAUUCCAAUGAUGGGCUUCCUCAAAAUGCCCUAGGUCUUCGUGACCAAGCGAGUUGGAUGCACACACACUUUGUUCCUUUUGUUGAGCUUUCAUAUACCUAUAGCUCUGGUGCAUCCGUUGCAUGGCAAUCCCUACCCACUCACAUUGAUAUCUAUUGAUGGGCAUCUCCAUAGCCCGUUGAUACGCCUAGUUGAUGUGAGACUAUAUUUCCCCUUUUUUGCCUCCUCCACAACCACCAUUCUAUUCCACCUAAAGUGCUAUGUCCAUGGCUCACUCUCGUGUAUUGCAUGAAGAUUGAAAAAGUUUGAGAACACCAAAAGUAUGAAACAAUUGCUUGGCUUGUCAUCGGGGUUGUGCAUUAUUUAAAUAUUUUGUGUGGUGAAGAUAGAGCAUAGCCAGACUAUAUGAUUUUGUAGGGAUAAGUUUCUCUGGCCAUGUUAUUGUGAAGAGACAUAAUUGCUUAGUUAGUAUGCUUGAAGUAUUAUUAUUUCUAUGUCAAUAUUGAACUUUUGUCUUGAAUCUUUCAGAUCUGAAUAUCCAUACCACAAUUAAUAAGAAUUACAUUGAAAUUAUGCCAAGUACCAUUACACAUCUAAAAUUUUGUUUUUAUUAUUUACCUACUCGAGGACGAGCAUGAAUUAAGCUUGGGGGUGCUUGAUACGUCUCCAACGUAUCUAUAAUUUUUUUUGUUCCGUGCUAUAUUAUAUUCUGUUUUGGACAUUGUUGGGCUUUAUUAUACACUUUUAUACUAUUUUUGGGACUAACCUAUUAACCGAAGGCCCAGCCCAAAAUUGUUUUUUCCCUAUUUUAGGGUUUCGCGGAAAAAGAAUAUCAAACAAAGUCCAAACGGAUUAAAACCUUCGGGAACGUGAUUUUCGGAACGAACAUGAUCCAGAGGACUUGGACCCUACGUCAAGCAAUCAACAAGGAAGGCACGAGGUAGGGGGGGCGCCUACCCCCCCCCCCCCAGGCACGCGCUCCACCCUUGUGGGCCCCCUAUUGCUCCACCGAUGUACUCCUUCCUCCUAUAUAUACCUAUGUACCCCCAAAAUAUCAGAUAUGGAGCCAAAACCCUAAUUCCACUGCCGUAACUUUCUGUAUCCACGAGAUCCCAUCUUGGGGCCUUUUCCGGAGCUCCACCGGAGGGGGCAUCAAUCACGGAGGACUUCUACAUCAACACCAUAGCCUCUCCAAUGAAGUGCGAAUAGUUUACUUCAGACCUAUGGGUCCAUAGUUAUUAGCUAGACGGCUUCUUCUCUCUUUUUGGAUCUAAAUACACAGUUCUCCCCCUCUCUUUUGGAGAUCUAUUCAAUGUAAUCUUCUUUUGCGGUGUGUUUGUUGAGACCGAUGAAUUGUGGGUUUAUGAUCAAGUUUAUCUAUGAACAAUAUUUGAAUCUUCUCUGAAUUCUUUUAUGUAUGAUUGGUUAUCUUUGAAAGUCUCUUCGAAUUAUCAGUUUGGUUUGGCCUACUAGAUUGAUCUUUGUUGCAAUGGGAGAAGUGCUUAGCUUUGGGUUCAAUCUUGCGGUGUCCUUUCCCAGUGACAGUAGGGGCAGCAAGGCACGUAUUGUAUUGUUGCCAUCGAGGAUAACAAGAUGGGGUUUAUAUCAUAUUGCAUGAGUUUAUCCAUCUACAUCAUGCCAUCUUGCUUAAGGCGUUACUCUAUUCUCUUGAACUUAAUACUCUAGAUGCAUGCUGGAUAGCGGUCGAUGUGUGGAGUAAUAGUAGUAGAUGCAGGCAGGAGUCGGUCUACUUGUCUCGGACGUGAUGCCUAUAUACAUGAUCAUACCUAUAUAUUCUCAUAACUAUGCUCAAUUCUGUCAAUUGCUCAACAAUAAUUUGUUCACCCACCGUAAAUACUUAUGCUCUUGAGAGAAGCCACUAGUGAAACCUAUGCCCCCGGGUCUAUCUUCCAUCAUAUUAAUCUUCCAAUACUUAGUUAUUUCCUUUGCCAUUUAUUUUACUUUGCAUCUUUAUCAUAAAAAUACCAAAAAUAUUAUCUUAUCAUAUCUAUCAGAUCUCACUCUUGUAAGUGACCGUGUAGGGAUUGACAACCCCUUAUCGCGUUGGUUGAGAGGAUUUAUUAGUUUGUGUAGGUGCGACGGACUUCUGUGCGGCCUCCUACUGGAUUGAUACAUUGGUUCUCAAAAACUGAGGGAAAUACUUACGCUACUUUGCUGCAUCACCCUUUCCUCUUCAAGGGAAAACCAACGCAGUGCUCAAGAGGUAGCACUUGGCGGCUCAAAGGGGUCCAGAAUACUGCUGCCAUCAGAACAGCCCCCGAGCCCACCGUCUUGCAAUUGAUACAAUGAAUCCGUCUCACCUGUGGACGACUCACCAUAAAAAUAGACGGCCGUCUCACUGCCAGACACAGAUCCUUCAGAAAAUUCUCCUCCAUGGAUGCAUCCCACGAAAGCACACUUCAUGGCGAGCUGAGUCCGGGUGGGUCUCGCACGCUGAGCCGUCUCGACGAUGUCGGUGCAGAUGUCCGGCUCAGGGCCCGGCUCGCCAAUCUGGCCGAUGAAGACAUGGAUUCCACCGAAGGGGACCCGGUACCUGUACUCAAUUGAGCCGGCGUCGGGGCCCCAGCCUGCGUCAUCGAUGUAGAGCUUGCCACGACGACUCUUGGUCAUCCGGCCCACAACAUAUCCCUUGAGACCUUCGAAGCUACCCUUCAAGAACUCAAAUCUGCCGUGCGCAGGCCCCACGGUGGGCGCCAACUAUUGUGGAAUCGUCACAGCAGAUGUCCUAGUGUGAGGACUUAGUUGUGAGGCUAGCGCAUCUUUGAGGUAGCUUGAGAGGGGUUGAUCGGGAUGAGAGACGCAGGGUGGAUCAACACACAAGACAAGGAUUUAGACAACUUCGGGCCCCGGGAAACAUCAUCUGGUAAUAGCCCUACAUGCUGUUUGUGGCUAGGUCUCAUUAUGCUCAUGAGGGAGUCGCCGCAUAAGUCGGCUCUCCUAGUUGUGCCUAGCCCUAGAAAUUAUUUUCUCCCUCUUUGGGUGCCCUGCCCCUCCUUAUAUAUGUUGAAGGGGCGGGUUACAUGACUAGUUCUAGUAGGAUUAUGAUUACCACUACAAAAAAUGACACAUCCGUGACAUUUUGGGCCGAACGAAAAAAAUUUCUGUCAUACAUAUGACACUUCUAUGACGAUAAUUGUGACAAAACCCGGUAUCAUCAUAGAUGUGGUGGGCUCCUACUUCUAUGACAAAAAAUCAUGACAAAAAAUGGGCUUUUCGUCCUGGGCAGGCCGAAGACGCAGUUGCAUGACAUUCUUUGGGCCGUCCAUGACGGAAAAAACCGUGGUAGAAGCGAGGGCGAGGAAAAUUUCGGGGAGUUCCCGGUUACGGUGGGAAGUCGAGGGCCGAGCGAUGCGUGUUUCUCUCGUACGAGUAUGCGCGCGUGUGUGAGGCGUUGGCUCUAACUGAACCCGAGCGAGGCGUUGGGCUCUAACUGAACCCGAGCGAUUGCACUGCAGGCUACACGUUACUGAACCCGAGCGAUCGAUCGAUGGCUGUUAACUGAACCCGAUCGAGCGAUUCCUUCUCUACUGCUGCUAACUGAAGCCGAUCGAUGCUGCCUCUGGAUGAACAGUGAGCGUUGCGGGGGGGUUGGAUGAACAGUUCCCAGUGAGGGUGGAUGAACAGGACCCCGUGGUGUUGCCUCUGGAUGAACAGGACCCCGAUCGAUCGAGCCGGUUGGGGCUGGAUGAAUAGGACCUCAUGGAGGGCUGGAUGAACAGGACCACCCCGUGGAGGGCAGGAUGAAUAUUAGACGGUGGAGGGUAGGAUGAACAGUAGCCCGUGGAGGGGUGGUUGAAUAGGAGCCCGUGGAGAGGGCUGGUUGAACAGUAGCCGAUGGAGUAGCGCGCGGUGGAGGCUGGAUGAACAGGAGCCCGUGGAGGAACAGAUGCAGGUGGAGGCUGGAGGAGGUCGACGGUGGAUGAACAGUAGCUCGUGGAGGCUGGAGGGGGUCGACGGUGGAGAUGAACAGUAUCCCGUGGAGUCCCAUUUUGUGGUACACCACACCCCUCCCGAUGAACAGGACCCCCGUUUCGACCGUAGCGCUCCAACGCUAGUCUGUUUCGUCCGUUUUGCGAUACGCCACACCCCUCCCGAUCAACAGGACCCCCGUUUCGAUCAUAGGAGGUCCGUUUCCUUUGUUUUGCGGUAUGCCAGACCCCUCCCGAUCAAUAGGAUCCCAUUUCGAAUGUGGCCGGUCGAACAGAAGGCCGUUUCCUCUGUUCUGCGGUACGCUAGGCCUCGUUUCCAUCGCAUGUUCUGUCCAAGCCCUCCCGAUGAACAUGACGCAUUCCGUUGCCUCCCCAUGAACACGACGACGACUCUGUUUCUCCGUUCCGACCCAGCCAUAUACACGAGCCCUGGCCGUACGUAUGCGCGAGUAGGCGUUCGAGACCCCGCCCGUAUGUACACAUAUGUGGCCGUAUUUUCUUUCUUGCACACUGGCCGCUGUACGUACGUGUACAUGCUACGUGCGUGCCUCUACUACAACACGUGCGCGCCUCUACAUCGACCAGUAUAUAUGUACGUACACGUUCACGACCAGAAUGACAACGCUACGUACGCUUCGACCAGGUGGGUCCUGACUGCCAGGCACUUCGUUGCGUGCGAAGAUGUAGCUGGUGGGUCCCAGCAGUCAGGGGCAAACAUUUUUUUGCAAAAUACGGUGGCCCGUCCGGUGGGUCCCCACUGUCAGGUGGAGGAAUAAUUAUUUUGCGCAUAAUAAGGAGGCACUUCCUUGCUGCGGCCGUGGACCCAGCUGUCAGCGUCUCCACGCAUAGUACUCUUCCGAUGGAAGUCGGCCAUUGACCACAUUAACCACGCCGCGCCGAGAGCACCAUGGUGGUGGACAACAGUGAGGCCUAGGAAGGGGAUGAUGCGGAGCCGGGGAAGACGCGGCAGUGGAAACCCGCGCGGAGAGGAGUACGAGGGUUCACUGGUUCGGCUGCGGUGUGAGGCUGCCGUUGCCGCAGGGCCUGGCUAGUGGUGGGAAUAGUAGGGGGCGGUGAGGCCUCCGCGGCAGCACAGCCGGCCACGGGAGGCAGGAGCAUGCGGCACGACCGGCGCUGCUUUGGGCGGCUGGAGCAAGAAGACCAGAGGUUGAAGAAGCACUACGGCCGUUGGAUGGACAUCGUACGGUCACUGGAGCUAGAAUCGUUCAUAUUGACUAAGUUGACAAAGCCCUUCGUCCUCGUCAACUUAGUAGGCCCACAAGUCAGCCUCCCACCAAGGUGGGUCCCAGCUAGCCGGGGGAGUAUUCAUUUUUUUGUGCGUAAUAAGGAGGCACUUCCAGUGGGUCCAAGCUGACAGUAGGGGGGACGUUUUUUUCGCGAAAUACAGUGGCCCGUCCGGUGGGUCCCAGCAGUUAGGGGAAACAAUUUUUUUUGCAAAAUACUGGUGGCCCGUCCGGUGGGUCCCCGCUGUCUGGUGGAAGAAUAAUUAUUUUGCGCGUAAUAAGGAGGCACUUCCUUGCUGCGGCCGUGGACCCAGCUGUCAGCGUCUCCACGCACAGUACUCUUCCGAUGGAAGUCGGUCGUUGACCACAUUGACCACGCCGUGCCGAGAGCACCACAGCGGUGGACGACGGUGAGGCCUAGGAAGGGGACGACGCGGAGCCGGGGAAGACGCGGCAGCGGAAGCCCGCGCGGAGAGGAGUACGAGGGUUCACUGGUUCGGCUGUGGUGUGAGGCUCCCAUCGCCGCAGGGCCUGGCCAGCGGUGGGAAUAGUAGGGGGCGGUGAGGCCUCCGCGGCAACAUAGCCGGCCACAGGAGGCAGGAGCAUGCGGCACGACCAGUGCUGCUAUGGGCGGCUGGAGCAAGAAGACUAGAGGUUGAAGAAGCACUACGGUCGUUGGACGGACAUCGCACGGUCACUGGAGCUAGAAUCGUUCAUAUUGACUAAGUUGACAAAGCCCUUCGUCCCCGUCAACUUAGUAGGCCCACAAGUCAGCCUCCCACCAAGGUGAGUCCCAGCAAGCCGGGGGAGUAUUCAUUUUUUUGUGCGUAAUAAGGAGGCACUUCCGGUGGGUCCGAGCUGACAGCGGGGGGAACGUUUUUUUCGCGAAAUACGGUGGCCCGUCCGGUGGGUCCCAGCAGUCAGGGGGAAACGAUAUUUUUCGCAAAAUACUGGUGGCCCGUCCGGUGGGUCCCCGCUGUCAGGUGGAGGAAUAAUUAUUUUCCGCAUAAUAAGGAGGCACUUCCUUGCGGCUGCCGUGGACCCAGCUGUCAGCCUCUCCAUGUACAGUACUCUUCCGAUGGAAGUCGGUCGUUGACCACAUUGACCACGCCGCGCCAAGAGCACCACGGCGGUAGAUGACGGCGAGGCAUAGGAAGGGGACGACGCGUAGCCGGGGAAGACGCGGCAGUGGAUGCCCACGCGGAGAGGAGUACGAGUGUUCACCGGUUCGACUGCGGUGUGAGGCUGCCGUCGCCGCAGAAUAACAGGGGGUGUGGGUGAGUAGAGGGAUGCCCUGGCCGACGGUGGGAGUAGUAGGGGCCGCUGAGGCCUGCGCGGCAGCACAGCCGGCCACGGGAGGCGGGAGUAGGUGGUCCCGCCGGCGCUGCUUUGGCGGCUGGAGCAAGAAGAUCAGAGAUUGAAGAAACACGACGGCCGUUGGAUUGACAUCCAAUGGUUACGUCUGCUAGAAUCGUUUGUUGACGUAUAUAAUAACUAAAAAAAUCUUGCAUACGCGUCAACUAAACAGUCCCACAAGUCAGACCACUCCCUCUUUUUUAAUAAUUUAUAUAUAGCUCAUGGCAACUUCUUAUGCAAUUUAUUGCAGUCGUUUUUUUUGGUUGGCCAGGGCCAAUUUCGCAUAUUUCUGUGGGUUCCAAACUUUUUUUAAUACCGAAAUGUCCAGCCAGAUUUAAAGUACUUUGAAGAUAUAUUUAAAUUAGGUUAAUGCCCAGUGAAAUAGGAAUCUGGAAAUGUAAUAAAAUUCAGAAAUUAUAAAGUAAUUGCCAAUUUGUCAUCUGUUUUUAUAUUUACAACCCAUUUCGUAUUACUUUCAAGAUUUGUAGGUGUCUUGAAAGAGUUGCAGCCCAUCAGGGCGUAGAAAAAUAAGUAUGCCUGGAUUGGGUAUUCUUCAGAUAAAAUAAACUGGGCUCAUUUUCACAAAGAAAAAAUAGUUGGGCUGGUCACAUGGUGAACAUAAAAUAUAAGCCUGGGCUAGAUGGGCCACAACCCAGUUCAAACCCUGUUCCGUCUCAACAAUACCAAACAAAAAAAUAUUGCUCGAGUAGCUACGUCCCAGGUGUCAGCCGAUCUUGUGAUGUUCUCUUGUCUAUUGACUAUAUACGCUCCCAAUGUCGUGGGUCCCAGAUGUCAGGAAAACACUAGGAGGAAGCAUUUUAUUUUUCCAUACUCUGAAGUGGUGGGCCCCUACUGUCAUCCUCUCCAUGUACUUUUGCUGAUUCCUGUUGUUUGUUGACCAUGUUGACAACGUGAGAGGGCGGCGCCACGGCGAGCGUACCAAAGCGCGUGGAGGACGUCAGCGUUAACGAUUUAGGAGACGGUGGGGAGGCGACGCGUGCGCUGAGGCGCAGCCAGCCGUGGGAGGCGGAAGCAGGCGGCCCCACCGGCACUGGUUUGGUUUUGGCGGCUGGAGGAAGACAGGACUGAAGAAACACGACAGACUGCAAAAGCAGCAGGAGUACUUAACAACCUUAACUGAAACCAGCAGGGGCACUUAACAACCAAAGCUGAAAGCAGUAUGAGUACUUAUACAGGUUCAACCGUACAAAGCACACCUCGAACAGUGCUAAUUUUCCUACAGUUAACCAAGGGUGAGGCCGCCAAGCCCCAGGACAAGGCCCAGGCGCCACCCCGCGCAUCCACAACCUUCUGAAAGCGGCUUCAUCUCGCAACGUGGUCAAUAAACAGGAUAUUCGCUUUUGAGCCAUGGAAAAGCAUGAACAUAAUCUUCUGUCCUAUUCUCCAAGAUGGACGAGCCUUCAUUAUUUGGGACCACCCAUGAAUAAGUAUCUUUUCACCUCCAAGGGGAAUUUAGUAGGUCGACAUAAACAUCAUGUUGUGACCAAGCGCAAGUCUGACCCGACCAUGCUCAGGCAUAUGUAUAGGAACAAUAGAACUCGGCAGUUCCUGUUCCAAGAAGAUCACAGCUUUAAAACUGUGUAUAAGCAAUAGUUUAUGAACAACAUAUAUAACAGAAAACAGCUCGUACCAUAAGUUUCUCGACACAGUUGGACCUGUUCAACGAGUGCAACAGUGGCACACAUAUCCCACGUGGCCUUCCACCAUUGAAACACCCCACAAGGACCUCAAGACGAUCAAUAAAGUGUAGGAACUUGUGGAUGUCGAUCCAGUCAACUUCAGUGCCAUUAGUAACAGCCGAGUUAUUACAGAGUAACAAACGAGCAGACUGCUUAACUCUAAAAAAAACCUACACGUGCCACCAAUUAUAAGAAAAUAUUAGUUAGAAGUAGCAUCUUCGUGAGAGAUUCGUUGCUACUUCUAAAGUUAAAUUGUGAUUAGUUAGACAGAAUAGGUGGAUUAAGAAGUAAUCGAGGCAACAAGCAAGAACCUGAUACAAAACUAGCAUGGAUGAACAAUUGGAACGACGUCGGGGUGGAAGAUCACAGUGAAGAUGAGACCAGGUUCUGCUAUUUCCAUCAACAUUCGUGCGCCAACUUUCAGUCCAUAACACUUGAGAAAGUUUAUCCAAGUUCGGCCAUAAAGAAAGCAGCGAUAUUCUUGGUUCAUGAACGCAACUCGGAACUUAUAUCCAUGGCUUGUCUUCACUGUGACCAUUAAACUAGUGUAUUCAGUUAUGGCAAGGCCGAGCAUCUUGAGUACAUGUGUUUUGGCAGAGCAAAUAAUACACUGCAAGAAAAAUAAUGUGAGAACGCAGCAUGUUCAAAAAACCCCCACCCUCCUGGAUAGGAAAGGGGAUUCUAGGAACAUAUUGUGCACGUUUCAAAAUGUUGUGUUAGGAUGAGAAGGACAAAAAAUGUGGCGUCUCUCCGAGGGCGCAGAAACCUAUAGGGUACUCGCACUUUGGGCACUGCAAAUGAAACACACUAGAUUCAGUAGGAAGAAAAAUGCAUCAACGGUGGCGGCUGCCAUCCUAGGAUUACCUGCGACCAAGGGACUUGGGUUUAUUGGGGAUGGAUGAAGAAUUCGUACCUGGUUCUCCAUGAGAAAACCCUAUGCAAUCGCCGAGAGGGGGUUUUCUCUGAACAAGCAGACAAGGGAGAAGGGGAUUCAGGCCCGGUGAAAUAUUGCUGCUUCAUCCAUCUAGCUUACUGCUAAAGCUGGGAAGGGGGGGUUGUGAUUUGACGGCUCAUUGGGCAUUACUGUGGCGCUACGACCGGGGUGUGUCUACCGUGAAGUUGUGCACUCUAAUGUGUGCAUAUGGCUCGUGGACCCCGUUGCCCCACAUAUCAGGGAAAGGAAGUAGAAAGACAGGAGUAACUAGUUACACAAAAAUAUAUUUUUUGACAGAGAGAUACUUCCUCUGUAAAGAAAUAUACAAAUCUUUUAUAUCACAGGCUUAGCUUGCCAAGAAAUAUACUCCCUCUGCAAUGCACGGGCAUUAUGGGGGUUCAGCUGAGAAUAUAAUACUCAGAUGUUUUUUUGAGGGAUAAAAGUUGCUUUAUUGAAGAUUAACAGUCAUAGGUAUACAAAUAAUUUCGGGGGUUCCUGUGAGCCAAAGAUGGCAUCCACAAGGCAAAGAAGUAGCAGCUUUUGCGAGCACAUGCGCUUCAACAUUACACUCGCGUUUUUUCAUGUAUGAUCUCCAUGGUUUGGAACAUAUUCUUCUUCAUCUUGAUCUCGUCCAUAAUAACUUUGCUGGGCCCCAAGUAUGCCUCUCCAAUAUGCUUGACUGUUGCUGAACAAUCGGUGCUAAUCUAAACUUGUUGUAGGUUUAAGUCAAGAGCCAGAGAUAGCCCCUCGCAACAUGCCAUUGCCUCUAGGAUCUCAGGAUCAGUAACACUUUCGCACACCAGUGUCGAUGCUCCAAGGAAGAAGCAUGUAUGAGCCCGGCUCACAACUGCCAGGGCUCCCCUUUCACCAUUACGAGAUAACGCAGCAUCAACAUUCAUCUUCGCCCAACCCACAGCAGGAGGAGGACGCCACUUCUGCACUGAUCUAGUGCUUCUCGAAACCAGGUUCUGGACUUUGGGCCGCAGGCCGACCCUGCAUGUUUGGGGGCCCAUGUGUUCUACCUCAGCGCUUUUCAUAUUGCAAGCAAUCAGUACGACGCUGGUUUUAGAUGUUGUCGCAAGGCGAAUACACAAAAUUGAAUAAAGCACGGCAGCUGUUGGAAUGAAAUCGAACGACAGUUCCUAACCAGCAAUCAGAGUUGCAAUUCUAUCAACGAUAUAUCAUGUGAUAAAUAAUACUAUCGUACUACUUAUACACACAGGACACUUGUUUCACAAGGCCAGAUUAUUACAUCAAAAUCUCUCGGAGGAUAGAUCAGUUAGGCAGUUGCGUGCUGAUACGUCUCCAAUGUAUCUAUAAUUUUUGAUUGCUCCAUGCUAUAUUAUCUACUGUUUUGGACUAUAUUGGGCUUUAUUUUCCACUUUUAUAUUAUUUUGGGGACUAACCUAUUAAUCGGAGGCCCAGCCCAGAAUUGCUGUUUUUUUGCCUAUUUCAGUGUUUCGGAUAAACAGAAUAUCAAACGGAGUCCAAACGGAAUAAAAUCUUCGGAAACGUGAUUUUCUCACCGAACGUGAUCCAGGAGACUUGGACCCUACUGCAAGGGAUGAAAGAGGUGGUCACGAGGGUGGGGGGCGCCCCCCCUAGGGUGCGUCCCCCUGCCUCAUGGGCCCCUCGGUGCUCCACCGAUGUACUCCUUCCUCCUAUAUAUACACACGUACCCCCAAACGAUCAGAACAAGAGCCAAAAACCUAAUUCCACCGCCGCAACUUUCUGUAUCCACGAGAUCCCAUCUUGGGGCCUGUUUCGGAGCUCCGCCGGAAGAGGGCCGUCAUCACGGAGGGCUUCUACAUCAUCCUAGCCCCUCCGAUGAAGUGUGAGUAGUUUACCUCAGACCUUCGGGUCCAUAGUUAGUAGCUAGAUGGCUUCUUCUCUCUCUUUGAAUCUCAAUACAAAGUUCUCCCCUCUCUUGUGGAGAUCUAUUCAAUGUAAUCUUGUUUUUGCGGUGUGUUUGUUGAGACCGAUGAAUUGUGGGUUUAUGAUCAAGUCUAUCUAUGAAUAAUAUUUGAAUCUUCUCUGAAUUCUUUUAUGCAUGAUUGGUUAUCUUUGCAAGUCUCUUCGAAUUAUCCGUUUGGUUUGGCCAACUAGAUUGGUAGUUCUUGCCAUGGGAGAAGUGCUUAGCUUUGGGUUCGAUCGUGCGGUGUCCUUACCCAGUGACAGAAGGGGCAGCAAGGCACGUAUUGUAUCGUUGCCAUCGAGGAUAACAGAUGGGGUUUAUUUCAGAUUGCAUGAAUUUAUCUCUCUACAUCAUGUCAUCUUGCUUAAGGCGUUACUCUGUUUUUAACUUAAUACUCUAGAUGCAUGCUGGAUAGUGGUCAAUGAGUGGAGUAAUAGUAGUAGAUGCAGAAUCAUUUCGAUCUACUUGUCACGGACGUGAUGCCUAUAUACAUGAUCAUGCCUAGAUAUUCUCAUAAUUAUGCUCAAUUCUAUCAAUUGCUCAACAGUAAUUUGUUCACCCACCGUAGAAUACUUAUACUCUUGAGAGAAGCCACUAGUGAAACCUAUGGCCCCCGGGUCUAUUCUCAUCAUAUCAAUCUCCAUCACUUUUAUAUUGUUUUGCUAUUUACUUUGCCUUUACUUUUUACUUUGCAUCUUUCUACCAAAAAUAGCAAAAAUAUUCUAUCUAUCAGAUCUCACUCUCAUAAGUGACCGUGAAGGGGCUUGACAACCCCUAAUCGCGUUGGUUGCGAGUAGCUAUCGCUUUGUGCAGGUACGAGGGACUUGAGCGUGGGCUCCUACUGGAUUGAUACCUUGGUUCUCAAAAACUGAGGGAAAUACUUAUGCUACUCUGCUGCAUCAUCCCUUCCUCUUCGGGGAAAACCAAUGCAAGCUCAAGACGCAGCAAGAAGGAUUUCUGGCGCCGUUGCCGGGGAGUCUAUGCAAAAAGUCAACAUACCAAGUACCCAUCACAAUCCCUAUCUCUCACAUUACAUUAUUUUCCAUUUGCGUCUCGUUUUCCUCUCCCCCAUUUCACCCUUGCCAUUUUAUUCGCCCUCUCUCUCUGUCCCCCCUCUCUGUUUGCCUCUUUUGUCCGCUUGCUUUUUGUUUGUCCGUGUGUUAGAUUGCUCGUUUGUCGCGAUGGCUCAAGAUACUACCAAAUUGUGUGACUUCACCAAUACCAAUAAUAAUGAUUUCCUUAGCACUCCUAUUGCUCCUCUUACCGAUGCUGAAUCUUGUGAAAUUAAUACUGCUUUGUUGAAUCUUGUUGUGAAAGAUCAAUUCGCCGGCCUUCCUAGUGAAGAUGCCGCUACUCAUCUGAAUAGCUUCGUUGAUUUAUGUGAUAUGCAAAAGAAAAAAGAUGUCAAUAAUGAUGUCGUUAAAUUGAAGCUAUUUCCUUUUUCGCUUAGAGAUCGUGCUAAAGCUUGGUUUUCGUCUUUGCCUAAGAAUAGUAUUGAUUCAUGGAACAAAUGCAAAGAUGCUUUUAUCUCUAAGUAUUUUCCUCCCGCUAAGAUCAUCUCUCUUAGAAACUAUAUAAUGAACUUUAAACAACUUGAUCAUGAACAUGUUGCACAAGCUUGGGAGAGAAUGAAAUUAAUGAUACGUAAUUGUCCUACUCAUGGUUUGAAUUUGUGGAUGAUUAUACAAAAAAAUUAUGCCGGAUUGAAUUUUGAUUCUAGAAAUCUUUUAGAUUCAGCUGCGGGAGGCACUUUUAUGGAAAUCACUUUAGGAGAUGCUACUAAACUCCUAGAUAAUAUUAUGGUUAAUUAUUCUCAAUGGCUGAAAGAACUUCUAAUAAAAAAGUGCAUGCGAUAGAAGAAAUUAAUGUGUUGAGUGGAAAGAUGGAUGAACUUAUGAAAUUAUUUGCUACUAAGAGUGUUUCUUCUGAUCCUAAUGAUAUGCCUUUGUCUACUUUGAUUGAGAAUAAUAAUGAAUCUAUGGAUGUGAAUUUUGUUGGUAGGAAUAAUUUUGGUAACAACGCUUAUAGAGGGAAUUUUAAUCCUAGGCCAUAUCCUAGUAAUCCUUCUAAUAAUUAUGGGAAUUCCUACAACAACUCUUAUGGAAAUUAUAAUAAGAUGCUCUCUGAUUUUGAAUUUAAUAUUAAAGAAUUUAUUUCUUCGCAAAAGAAUUUUAAUGCUAUGAUUGAAGAAAAAUUGCUUAAGAUUGAUGAUUUGGCUAGGAACGUUGAUAGAAUUGCUCUUGAUGUUGAUACUUUGAAACUUAGAUCUAUUCCACCUAAGCAUGAUAUUAAUGACUCUCUAAAAGCCAUGAGAAUUUCAAUUGAUGAGUGUAAAGAAAGAACCGCUAGGAUGCGUGCUUCCAAAGAUGCCUUUAUUAAAGCGUGUUCUUCCAAUACCUAUGAAAAUCAAGAUUAAGAUCUAAAAUUUAUUGAUGUGUCUCCAAUUAAAUCUUUAUUUUGCAAUAUGAACCUUGAUGAAACUGAAUAUGAUCUUCCUUUACCUAGAAGGCGUUCUAAAAAUUCGGAGUGUUUAGAUCUUAAUGAUGAAAUUGAUGAAAGUGGGAUUGAAAGAAAUAAAAAUCUAGAAGUUGCUAAACCCACUAUAUUGGAUUUAAAGGAAUUUAAUUAUGAAAUUUGCUAUUUGAUUGAUUGUAUUUCCUUGUUGCAAUCCGUGCUAAAUUCUCCACAUGCUUAUAGUCGAAAUAAAGCCUUCACCGAACAUAUUGUUGAUGCCUUGAUGGAAUCUUAUGAAGAAAAACUUGAGUUGAAAGUUUCUAACCCUAGAAAGCUCUAUGAUGAGUGGGAACCAACUAUUAAAAUUAAAAUUAAAGAUCAUGAGUUUUAUGCUUUGUGUGAUUUGGGUUCUAGUGUCUCUACUAUUCCCAAGACUUUGUGUGAUUUACUAGAUUUCCGUAAUUUUGAUGAUUGCUCUCUAAACUUGCAUCUUGCGGAUUCCACUAUUAAGAAACCUAUGGGAAGAAUUAAUGAUGUUCUUAUUGUUGCAAAUAGGAAUUAUGUGCCUGUAGAUUUCAUUGUUCUUGAUAUAGAUUGCAAUCCUUCUUGCCCUAUUAUUCUUGGUAGACAUUUGCUUAGAACGGUUGGUGCGAUUAUUGAUAUGAAGGAGGGGAAUAUUAGAUUUCAAUUUCCAUUAAAAAAGGGCAUGGAACACUUUCCAAGAAAGAAAACAAAAUUACCAUAUGAAACCAUCAUGAGAGCCACUUAUGGAUUGCCUACCAAAGAUGGCAAUACCUAGAUCUAUCCUUGCUUGUUAUGCCUAGCUAGAGGCGUUAAACGAUAGCGCUUGUUGGGAGGCAACCCAAUUUUAUUUUUAUUCCUUGCUUUUUGCUCCUGUUUAGUAAUAAAUAAAUUAUUUAGACUCUGUUUUUGUUGUGUUUUUUUGUGUUUAAUUAGUGUUUGUGCCAAGUAGAACCGUUGGGAAGACCUGGGGAAAGUCUUGUUGAACUUGCUGUAAAAAACAGAAACUUUAGCACUCACGAGAACUGCUGUCAUUUUUAUUUGAAGAGUGCUAUUUAGUUAAUUAUUUUUUGCAUAUGAUUAAUAGAUAAAUUCCUCACGUCUAGCAAUUUAUUUUAGAAUUUUUGGGGUCCCAGAUCUUGCGCUAGAUACAGAUUACUACAGACUGUUCUGUUUUUGACAGAUUCUGUUUUUCGUGUGUUGUUUACUUAUUUUGAUGAAUCUAUGGCUAGUAAAAUAGUUUAUAAUCCAUAGAGAAGUUGUAAUACAGUAGGUUUAACACCAAUAUAAAUAAAGAAUGAGUUCAUUACAGUACCUUGAAGUGGUCUUUUGUUUUCUUUGGCUAAUGGAGCACACGAGUUUUCUAUUUUGACUUUUGUGUUGUGAAGUUUUCAAGUUUUGGGUGAAUUCUUUUGAUUGAUCAUGGAAAAAGGAGUGGCAAGAGCCUAAGCUUGGGGAUGCCCAUGGCACCCCCAAGAUAAUCCAAUGACACCAAAAAGUCAAAGCUUGGGGAUGCCCCGGAAGGCAUCCCCUCUUUUCGUCCACUUCCAUCGGUAAUUUACUUGGAGCUAUAUUUUUUUCACCAACAUGAUAUGUGUUUUGCUUGGAGCGUCUUGUAUUAUUUGUGUCUUUGUUUGUUAGUAUGCCACAAUCAUCCUUGCUGUACACACCUUUUGAGAGAGCCAUACAUGAAUUAAAAUUUGAUAGAAUACUCUAUGUGCUUCACUUAUAUCCUUUGUGAAGGAAAUAUGCCCUAGAGGCAAUAAUAAAGUUAUUAUUUAUUUCCUUAUAUCAUGAUAAAUGUUUAUUAUUCAUGCUAGAAUUGUAUUAACCGGAAACAUAAUACAUGUGUGAAUACAUAGACAAAAACAAAGAGUCACUAGUAUGCCUCUACUUGACUAGCUCGUUAAUCAAAGAUGGUUAUGUUGCCUAACCAUAGACAUGAGUUUUCAUUUGAUUAAUGGGAUCACAUUAUUAGGAUAAUGAUGUGAUUGACUUGACCCAUUCCGUUAGCUUAGCACUUGAUCGUUUAGUUUGUUGCUAUUGCUUUCUUCAUAACUUAUACAUGUUCCUAUGACUGUGAUAUUAUGCAACUCCCGUUUACCGGAGGAACACUUUGUGUGCUACCAAACGUCACAACAUAACUGGGUGAUUAUAAAAGUGCUCUACAGGUGUCUCCGAAGGUACUUGUUGGGUUGGCGUAUUUCGAGAUCACUCCGAUUGUCGGAGAGGUAUCUCUGGGCCCUCUCGGUAAUGCACAUCACUCAAGCCUUGCAAGCAUUGGUUGCAGGAUGAUGUGUUAUGGAAUGAGUAAAGAGACUUGCCGGUAACGAGAUUUAACUAGGUAUUGAGAUACCGACGAUCGAAUCUCGGGCAAGUAACAUACCGAUGACAAAGGGAAGAACGUAUGUUGUUAUGCGGUCUGACCGAUAAAGAUCUUCGUAGAAUAUGUAGGAGCCAAUAUGAGCAUCCAGGUUCCACUAUUGGUUAUUGACCAGAGACGUGUCUCGGUCAUGUCUACAUAGUUUUCGAACCCGUAGGGUCCGCACGCUUAAAGUUCGGUGACGAUCGUAAUUAGGGUUUUUGUGUUUUGAUGUACUGAAGGUUGUCCGAAGUCCCGGAUGUGAUCACGGACAUGACGAGGAGUCUCUAAAUGGUCGAGACAUAAAGAUUGAUAUAUUGGAAGCCUAUAUUUGGAUAUCGGAAACAUUCCGGGUGAAAUCAGGAUUUUACCGGAGUACCGGGGGUUACCGGACCCCCCCCCCCCGGGGUUAUUGGGCCUACAUGGGCCAUAAGGGAGAAGAGGAGGGCCGGCCAGGGAAGGCCGCGCGCCCCCACCCCCCUAGUCUGAAUAGGACAAGGAAGGGGGGCGGCGCCCCCCUUUCCUAUUUCUCCCUUCCUCCUUCCUUUUCCAACAAGGCAAGAGGGGGGAGUCCUACACCCGGUUGGAGUACGAGUCCUCCAGGUGCACCCAUUGGGCCGGCCGCACCUCCCCCUCUCCCUCCUUUAUAUACUGAGGCAAGGGGGCACCCCAUGACACACAAGUUGAUCCUCGUGAUCGUUCCUUAGCCGUGUGCGGUGCCCCCUUCCACCAUAUUAACCUCGGUCAUAUCGUAGCGGUGCUUAGGCGAAGCCCUGCGUCGGUAGAACAUCAUCACCGUCAUCACGCCGUCAUGCUGACGAAACUCUCCCUCAAUGUUUUGCUGGAUCAGAACUCGAGGGACGUCACCGAGUUGAACGUGUGCAGAACUCGGAGGUGUCGUACGUUCGGUACUUGGAUCGGUCGGAUCGGGAAGACGUACGACUACUUCCUCUACGUUGUGUCAACACUUCCAUUGCCGAUCUAUGAGGGUACAUAGACAACACUCUCCCCUCUCGUUGCUAUGCAUCACCAUGAUCUUGUGUGUGCGUAGGAAUUUUUUUGAAAUUACUACGUUCCCCAAUACUUUGAGCUAGAUAAUUUUGCUCUAUGUGCUUCACUUAUAUCUUUUGAGCUAGAUAAUUUGCUCUAUGUGCUUCACUUAUAUCUUUUGAGCUAGAUAAUUUUGCUCUAUGUGCUUCACUUAGAUCUUUUAGAGCACGGUGGUGGAUUCUUUUUAAAGAAACUAUUGAUCUCUCAUGCUUCACUUAAAAUAAUUUUGAGAGUCUCUUAAUAGCAUGGUAAUUUUCCUAAUAAUAAUAUGCUUGUUAUUCAAGAUUUGUGAAGCUUUCUUUUGAGUGUGUUGAAUACUAAGAAAAGAUUGAAGCAUGAUAACUGUUUUGAGAUAUGGAGGUGAUAAUAUUAAAGUCAUGCUAGUUGAGUAGUUGUGAAUUUGAAGAAUACUUGUGUUGAAGUUUGUGAUUCCCGUAGCAUGCAUGUAUGGUGAACCGUUAUGUGAUGAAGUCGGAGCAUGAUUUAUUUGUUGAUUGUCUUCCUUAUGAGUGGCGGUCGGGGACGAGCGAUGGUCUUUUCCUACCAAUCUAUCCCCCUAGGAACAUGCGUGUAAUACUUUGCUUUGAUAACUUCUAAGUUUUUGCAAUAAGUAUAUGAGUUCUUUAUGACUAAUGUUGAGUCCAUGGAUUAUACGCACUCUCACCCUUCCACCUUUGCUAGCCUCUCUCAUACCGCACAACUUUCGCCGGUAUCAUACACCUACCAUAUACCUUCCUCAAAACAGCCACCAUACCUACCUAUUAUGGCAUUUCCAUAGCCAUUCCGAGAUAUAUUGCCAUGCAACUUUCCACCAUCUAGUUCAUCAUGACACAUCCAUCAUUGUCAUAUUGCUUAGCAUGAUCAUGUAGUUGACACAGUAUUUGUGGCAAAGCCAUCGUUCAUAAUUCUUUCAUACUUGUCACUCGUGAUUCAUUGCAUAUCCCGGUACACCGCCGGAGGCAUCCAUAUAGAGUCAUACUUUGUUUUAGUAUCGAGUUGUAAUCACUGAGUUGUAAAUAAAUAGAAGUGUGAUGAUCAUCAUUCAAUAGAGCAUUGUCCCAAAAAAAAGGGGGGGAAAGGCCAAAGAAAAAAAGAAGGCCCAAAGAAAAGGGGACAAUACUACUAUCCUUUUUUCCACACUUGUGCUUCAAACUAGCACCAUGAUAUAGCAAGUCUCAUAUAUUGUGUUUCAAAGUAGCACCAUGUUCUUCAUAUAGAGAGUCUCAUAUGUUGUCACUUUCAUAUACUAGUGGGAAUUUUACGUUAUAGAACUUGGCUUGUAUAUUCCAAUGAUGGGCUUCCUCAAAUUGCCCUAGGUCUUCGUGAGCAAGCAAGUUGGAUGCACACCCACUAGUUUCUUUUGUUGAGCUUUCAUACAUUUAUAGCUCUAGUGCAUCCGUUGCAUGGCAAUCCCUACUCACUCACAUUGAUAUCUAUUGAUGGGCAUCUCCAUAGCCCGUUGAUACGCCUAGUUGAUGUGAGGCUAUCUUCUCCUUUUUGUCUUCUCCACAACCACCAUUCUAUUCCACCUAUAGUGAUAUAUCCAUGGCUCACGCUCAUGUAUUGCGUGAAGAUUGAAAAAGUUUUGAAAAAGUUAGAGUAUAAAACAAUUGCUUGGCUUGUCAUCGGGGUUGUGCAUGAUUUAAAUACUUUGUGUGGGGAAGAUGGAGCAUAGCCAGACUAUAUGAUUUUGUAGGGAUAACUUUCUUUGGCCAUGUUAUUUUGAGAAGACAUAAUUGCUUUGUUAGUAUGCUUGAAGUAUUAUUAUUUUCUAUGUCAAUAUAAACUUUUGUCUUGAAUCUUUAUAAUAUGAAUAUUCAUACCACAAUUAAGAAUAUUUGCAUUGAAAUUAUGCCAAGUAGCACUCCGCAUCAAAAAUUCUCUUUUUAUCAUUUACCUACUCGAGGACGAGCAGGAAUUAAGCUUGGGGAUGCCUGAUACGUCUCCAACGUAUCUAUAAUUUUUGAUUGCUCCAUGCUAUAUUAUGUACUGUUUUGGACUAUAUUGGGCUUUAUUUUCCACUUUUAUAUUAUUUUGGGACUAACCUAUUAACCGGAGCCCCAGCCCAGAAUUGCUAUUUUUUUGCCUAUUUCAGUGUUUCGGAUAAACAGAAUAUCAAACGGAGUCCAAACGGAAUAAAAUCUUCGGAAACAUGAUUUUCUCACCGAACAUGAUCCAGGAGACUUGGACCCUACUGCAAGGGAUCAAAGAGGUGGUCACGAGGGUGGGGGGCGCGCCCCUGCCUCGUGGGCCCCUCGGUGCUCCACCGACGUACUCCUUCCUCCUAUAUAUACACACGUAGCCCCAAAUGAUCAGAACAGGAGCCAAAAACCUAAUUCCACCGCCGCAACUUUCUGUAUCCACGAGAUCCCAUCUUGGGGCCUGUUCCGGAGCUCCGCCGGAAGAGGGCCGUCAUCACGGAGUGCUUCUACAUCAUCCUAGCCCCUCCGAUGAAGUGUGAGUAGUUUACCUCAGACCUUCGGGUCCGUAGUUAGUAGCUAGAUGGCUUCUUCUCUCUCUUUGAAUCUCAAUACAAAUUUCUCCCCCUCUCUUGUGGACAUUUAUUCGAUGUAAUCUUCUUUUUGCGGUGUGUUUGUUGAGACUGAUGAAUUGUGGGUUUAUGAUCAAGUCUAUCUAUGAAUAAUAUUUGAAUCUUCUCUGAAUUCUUUUAUGCAUGAUUGGUUAUCUUUGCAAGUCUCUUCAAAUUAUCCGUUUGGUUUGGCCAACUAGAUUGGUAGUUCUUUCCAUGGGAGAAGUGCUUAGCUUUGGGUUCGAUCUUGCGGUGUCCUUACCCAGUGACAGAAGGGGCAGCAAGGCACGUAUUGUAUCGUUGCCAUCGAGGAUAACAAGAUGGGGUUUAUUUCAUAUUGCAUGAAUUUAUCUCUCUACAUCAUGUCAUCUUGCUUAAGGCGUUACUAUGUUUUUAACUUAAUACUCUAGAUGCAUGCUGGAUAGCGAUCGAUGAGUGGAGUAAUAGUAGUAGAUGCAGAAUCGUUUCGAUCUACUUGUCAUGGACGUGAUGCCUAUAUACAUGAUCAUGCCUAGAUAUUCUCAUAAUUAUGCUCAAUUUUAUCAAUUUCUCAACAGUAAUUUGUUCACCACCGUAGAAUACUUAUGCUCUUGAGAGAAGCCACUAGUGAAACCUAUGUCCCCCGGGUCUAUUCUCAUCAUAUCAAUCUCCAUCACUUUUAUAUUGUUUUGCUAUUUACUUUGCCUUUACUUUUUACUUUGCAUCUUUAUACCAAAAAUACCAAAAAUAUUCUAUCUAUCAGAUCUCACUCUCGUAAGUGACCAUGAAGGGCUUGACAAGCCCUAAUCGCGUUGGUUGCGAGUAGCUAUCGCUUUGUGCAGGUACGAGGGACUUGAGCGUGGGCUCCUACUGGAUUGAUACCUUGGUUCUCAAAAACUGAGGGAAAUACUUACGCUACUCUACUGCAUCAUCCCUUCCUCUUCGGGGAAAACCAACACAAGCUCAAGACGUAGCACGUGCUGCUACUGAAGAAUUUCAAAGUUGAUUUGGACCAGCUCUCCUUGCCGAGAAAGUUCUAUUUUGACAUCAUCCCCUACCGCAAGAUAUGAUUUAGACUUGAACCUUGACCAUCCUUUAGCAUCAAUCAUCAUGUGACCAUCCUUUGUACUUAUGAUAUAUUGAGCAGGUUCAUUCACACCAAGGCUGCGCAUGGUAAGAGAAACUUGGCCGCGGUCGCCCGGAUUGUUGAACGACUCCCUCGUUGCUCUAGGAAUUCUCUGUUUGCAAACAAGAAGACAUACCCAAAUACUUAGAUCAACACAUUGAAUCAUGUGAAACAACAUGGAAAGAAAAAAGAACGAAGCACUUGGGCGGCCAAUGCUUACCAAGAAGGUGGACAUGUCGGUUUUUGUAAGGACUUUGGUAUAUGAAGUGUGAACUGCAGCCCAGUCUGUUGCCGGUGCAACUGCAUGGGCCGAAGCAGAUGCAAGUGCAAGUGUUGGUGCAGGUGCGGAAGCCGUUGCUGCUGCCGGAGAUGGUGCUCCUUGUAGAGCUAGUGUCGGUGUCGAAGUAGGUGCCGGUGUCGACGCCCGAUCCUCCGGUAGAUCAGACUGAUCCGCUGACGCGGUCGGUGCCCAAUCCUCAGCUGGAUCAGACUGAGCUGCUGCCGCUGUCAGUGAUAGAGAAAUUGUCGGUGCUCGAUCUGUUAUGAUCAGUUUUCUAACUUGACAUCCGUGACCGUGAUCCAGUUUUUUUCUUCAUUUCUUUUAAACGCGAGAAGGACUAAUUGUGGCGUUUUUGUUAAACCAAACUGCAGUUCAUCAUAGGGAUUCAGCUUGUACUCAGACAACAGACUGAUCCAAUUUUUUCCAGUAAUAUAAGUGAUGGACAGUGCCUUCGUUACUGACAUGACAUAAGAAGUGAAACCUGCAAAAAUAGCCAUCGUAGAGCAAACCAAACGGUUUAUUCUGUGAUGAAUGUCACAUGGCAAAACCUGCAUCAUAAAAUUGCAGGAAAAGAAAGAAAACAUGGCAUUAAAUCAAUAAGAUUUAGACAGUAAAUCAAUAAGAUUUACUUGAUGUGACACGAGUGAAUCCUUACCAGGAAAUCACUAUGUUGAAGUACUAAAUAGAAGAUUGAUCAUUCAACUACGCAUGGCAUGCAGGGGCCCCACCUACUCCCACAAGCAGGACAGUCCAAAGGUCGUGACAAAUCAUAUGGACCGAACAUCCAUGGGGCUGGAAAUCCUGAUGGGUGCGAUAAACCCUGCAAUGCAUACAGAUAUUGGAGUGUAACCAUAAUUGAUAGACCGUCCUCACAAAAAAUAUGAUAUGGAUACUUCAAAAUAUACAGACUGAAUUGAGUGGACAGACAUUAACAUAGACCAUUCUCAGGACUGACCACACACCAAAAGCGGCAGUACUAAUAAACAAUACAGGGUUCACAAACACAAAUCAAGUACUGAACAAUAGUACUUACUACAGACAAGCAAAGUUGCACUAACUAAACUCUGCAGACUAUUUUUUGCCACCGACCUACGGGAUGAACCCCGCAUAACUAACUAGGCCAUGGACUUCGUGUGAGAUGUCUACAUGCACCAUCACCAUCUUGUCAACCUUGGAGAACCUAAUAGAGUGGUCUUUCCACUCAUAAACAUGAUGAUGAAGACAGGCCGCAUCAAAUUUGUUGGGAAGCUUUACAAGAACCACACCCUUCGUAAUCGAAGGCACAACCAGGAAAUUGUUGUGGUCAAGUACAGCCUCGAGAACACGCCUGACAACAAUGCUACAGGAAAACACUAGUUCAGGACACGUGGCGAAAAGGACACAACAGCUGGAUAGUUCAGCAGUAGAACUCAUCAUCAGGUCUUCCAGUUCACACGGCAUGACUUUGAGAACUUCAUCUCCACCGCGGACCUGGUUCUAAUUCAAACAGAAACCAUAUUUUAUUACUACCUCUGUUCAGAAAUAUAAGAUGAUUUUCGAUAUUAUACUCCAUAUAUGACUACAUAUACGCACAGAAAUGAGUGAACAAAGACACUAGAACAUGUCUUCAAAGGCAUGAGAGUAGAGGGAUUACAUACAAUAUCCAUAACACAAGUUACUGAGGAAAAUAUACCCUCUUAAAAGGUAGCAUUGAUGUUCAUAAAGUACUCCCUCCGUCCCAAAAUUCUUGUCUUAGAUUUGUCUAGAUACGGAUGUAUCAAGUCACAUUUUAGUAUUAGAUACAUCCGUAUCUAGACAAAUCUAAGACAAGAAAUUUGGGACAGAGGGAGUAGUUGAAAGUAAUCUAUAAGAAAUCAGUGUCAACCUCUCGCAUGUUUUGGUCAAAAGAGGAAUUUAGAACCGUCAUUUGGCACACAAAAAUCACAUGCAAGAUCACCCAGAAAGUUGUACUACUAGUACUAGUACUACGUGUUAGAUGAAAAAACACGAUCAAGAUCGAGAAAAAGAUCGUCAAGAAGAGAUAUUAUCUGGACUUGCUUAAUGAGGGAUCCCGGAGAGGGGGGCUUGGACAGGGCGAUGGCUUUGAGCUUGUCUGUGGUAGUCUCGGCAGGGUGCUUGCGCUUCUUCGUACCAUGAGCCUCGACGGUUUUGGCCGGAGCCAUAGACAUCACUUCGGCCGGUGCUCCAGCGUCCAUCAAGAAACUACCAAAUAGAAAUAAAAGAAAAGAAACCAUAAUCACAAACCCAAAAGAAGAAAAGAGAGGGAGUUAUAGGAUCAGUCUCGGGGUUGCAAGACCGGGCCUUGGCCAGAAUCAACACCAUUGAUGCGCUCACCUUUCUUUCCUUGGGAGAGAAGAACAAUGGCAGAAGCAGGUCGGGGUUUUCUUGAAGAAAUGAGGAAAAAGAUGAGGCAGAAGCGAGGGUUGGGUAGAGAGGAAGCUGAGAGAGAAGAGUGAAAUGAUGGUUGCUUCGUCCGUCCAACUUACUGCUGGAAAGGAGGGGGUUUUGUGAUUUGACGGCUCAUUGGGCAUUACUGCGGCGCUUCGAUAGGGGUAGUCUACCAUCACUCUACUACGAAAUAAUUUAGUGCAUGGCUAGUGAACCCCGAUGCUGGCUGUCCCACACGUCGGCGAAAGUGAGUAAUUUGGUGCAUGGCUGGAGGAGGAUCCGCACGGUAGAGCAUGUCCAUUGUUUUUCAGAAGAAAAAAUGAUUACAGCAAGCAUUUCCACUCUUACGACGGAGGAGUGCGAAACACGGCAGCCGCUUGAACAUACACAGUGCUCCUACUACUAGGCAUGUGCAGUGGUUCAUACGUCAGUACUACACAAUCUUGUUGCUAGUGUAGUAAGAUAUGACGAUAACAAAUGAUGUUGUGCGCAUGUCAACUACUCCUAUAUGUAACAUAGUACUGCUUUUUACUGUCCAGUCGAGAAUGGACGGUGAGAUCAAUGUUAACAAAACUAGGCCCACAGCGCAUGGAGAGUACGGUGCUACAGUACUCCACGAAACAUGAACCAUAUGAAGCAUGAAUAGUGUUAGGCAGGGUGUAUGAAGGGUGCACGGGAUGGGAGCAAAAGUUCCCUUCUCGACUCACUUUUGGGUGUUUGGCAGAGUGCAUGAAGGGUGCAUGCGUCCACACUAGUAGGUUGACAAAAACACACGAAGAGGAAACAACUAUAUUGAGAUGAGAAUGCAACCAAACACACCCACAUGCUUUGUGCUACAGUGACUGAUCUGCACCGUCUGAGUUUGAUCCAAUGGUCAUGUUGCACCGAGACAUGGACAUGCCCAUGCAGAGGGCGCCUAAACACCACCGAAGUCCCUCUGCUUCUCGAGGCACAAGACGUUGGUGAUGCAGGGUGCAACCGCCCGCAGAGCCCACUCCCGGUCGACGGGAGCCAGCUCGUCAAAGACGGCGUCCAAUGGCACGAAUGGAUUCCGGUGACGGAGCCCUGAAAGGAUUCGCCCAGCAACGGCGACGGCAGCCUGCAACCCCUCCUUGUCCAGCUCAGCCCCCACCAUCGCACGGAGACGGCUCAGCUCCUCGAAGAUAUAGGUGAUGAAGGAGACCAGGUAAGUAAGCCGCAGCUCGUUGAAGUCGACUGGGUGGUCGAACGGGUUUAGCCCGACGGCCGGCAUCGUCGCGCUGGCACGACGGUAGGCAUCGCGCAGCCGCAACACGUGCGUGGCAACUUGGUUCACCAAGUGGCUGAGGCGAUCCUGGACCUCGUCACGAUCGGCCCGCUCGCGCUCCAACCAGCUCCCCUGACGGCCUAUCAUAUCUCGAGCUUUCUGCAGCAACGCCGCCGACGCCUCGAGCAUCUUUGUGGUGGACGCCUGCCACUUUUGAAGCUCCGUGAACUCCCGCACAUAACGGAGGAGCAUGGCACUUCUCUCCUCCUUGAGCUCAUGGAGCUCCACGUCCUUGGCCCUGAGCUCCGCAUCCUUGGCAUGGAGCUCCUGUGUCAGGAGCCUCAUCUCGGACUUCGUGAUCUGCUGCGCCGCCAUGGCACCAGGUAGAAGCAAUGGGGAGAGGAAGCAAAGGGGGCGAAACGACUGAAAGGCAAUGCAAUCUAUGGGAAGGUGGAGGGAGCGGGGAAUCUUUUGGUUUUCACCACGGUAAAACACCAGUUGACGACUUCUCACAUCAGGCAGCAGUGGGUACAUGCGGAGUCAUCGUGACUAAUUGCUGCCGCGCCUGCUCCCGUUAAUCAAAAAAUUAAAAAUCCUGUCACGCCUGCUCCCAUCAAUCAAAAAAUUAAAAAUCCUGCCGCACCCAAACACCAGAGCAACGCUGCGGUGGAUAUUUAAAUUUACCUGCCGGCAAGUAGAUAAAAAAGGGUGAAAAACAAAUGUGGCGGCGGCCUAGCUAAUCGGUCGAACUAGCCCAACUAGGUAGCCACCGUGCUUCACUGAUGUACUCGGCGGGAAAGGUGGUCUUUCGUGAUUUGACGACUCAUUUACUUGCUUCGGCGCUACGACCGAGGAGGACCCAGAAAACGUGCGGUAGGGCGUCCCACGUCAGGAAGAAUAUAUGCGUGCACCACCCGGGAGGACCCCGAAACCGCGCGGUAGGGUGUGCCACGUCUCGACAUGGAGGAAAAAUGUGCGUGUAAAAAUAUGCUGUAUCAGACGUAGUAGAGUACCUAUGGUUCGACCUCGGGACCCAGCCAGUCGGUUGAAAACACCCCACUAGCCACACAGCUUCAUCAAGCAAACGUGGCACGGAGGAUAGAUGUGGUUAGCUCCGUCUCGACUAGCCACAACGUCUCUUGUUCUAGGCGAUUCUUCUAUUUUCCAAGUUUUUUUAGUUGUAAUAACACCAAAGCAAGCUAGCGCCACUCUUCGUGUGUGCCCGUGCAAAGGUUAGACGAUGGAGAGAAGAGAGAUUGAGAUCGCAGACCUGGGACCCACCAAUAAGUGAGAUAACGGUCAUGCAUGUGUUGACGAGGCACUCCCUCUACUCUACUCAACGCAAGUACUGUAUAAAAUCAAGUUAUGGGACAAAGCCAACAACCAUUCAUUUUCUAGGAUAUCGACUUACGCUUUGUAGUCCAUGUUGCAAGUUGGAAUCUCGUCUUUCAGAUUUGUUAGUUUUAGGUCCAAAUUUGAUUAAUGACAAGUGGGACCCCUGUGUGUUGUUCCGAUAUUUCAGUGUAGGAUGGUUUUUUUGAACAAACACUUUGCGCGGUUAGACAAGUAACGGCAUGAGUUACACGUUUUUUGCAAGUUUACGAACAAAAAUGACAGCGGCAUAGAAUAUCACAUCCACCCCGCAGCUUAGAUACUAUGGUCAUACGAGUUUUUACACCGUUGGAAGUGAGAUCCAAUGGCUUGGGAGUAGUAUUUGUAAUUAUGCGCAAUUUCCAGACUCUCCAAAGGUUUUUUUGCAAAUAAAACAUUCAGGCCUCGUGUGUGCCGCUGCAUCUUUGAUCCAACGGCUCCCCAGUGCUCAUAUUAGGUGCUCCCCGUAGCUUAAUUACCCGCUACGGUGAUUGGAGUAGUUGUGGGCCGAAUGCUACAAAAAUAUAAUCGGAACCGACCGGAAUAGAUGCCUACACAAAUUAAUCCAAGGUUGGAGUGCCCCUCGCAAUGUAAAUAGCUCCGACUUUGCGAGGGAUGGAGAGGUAGUAUCUUCAACGCGUGGAAGAUAAAGUGUGAGAAAGCAAGGUCAAUCGAGAGACAUAUAGAUAGAGAGACAAAGUGAGUGUGGUCCGACAUUCAUUGAACAAAUAUAUAUGCUCUGGAGAGAUAUUGUCCGAUUGAGCUUUUUGGCAAGGGUGAGGGCUGUAAGAUAGAGCUUGAGAGAUGAUCCAAUCACAGACGUGUAGAUAUAUUUUGUGCGUGGGAGGAAGCAAGGUCAACCGAUCACAUAGGGUCGCCGUGCGAUCGAAAGAGUGAGACGGGUUGGAGAGAGUGACCUAGAUAGACAAUGUGCGUGAGAGAGUAUACAAUGUGAAUAGGUCGAAUUGGGCUCAACAUGGUGAUAUAUCGUUUUUGUCCGAGAAAGAGCGAGGUCAAUCGAGACAUACGGGGAGAGCGAGCGAGAGAGAGAGAGAGAGAGAGAGAGAGAGAUUGAGUGAGCGUGGCCCACCAUGAGGUCGAAAGAGUGGUGGCGGCUUGGAUGGACUGACCUAGAUAGACAAUCUGCGUGAGAGAGUAUAGAGUGUGUCGAUUGAGGCCCGAAUAGGGAGAUAUAUCAUUUGUGUGUGAAAGAAAACGAGGUUAAACGAGACUCAGAUAAAGAGAGCGAGAUUGAGCGAGUGUGGCCCGCCGUGUGGAAGAAAGAGUGAGACAGUCUCGAGGGAGUGACCUAGAUAUACAACGUGCGUGCGUGCGCAUGCACGAGAGGUUGGGGGGCUAGAUAGGCAAUGCAUGUAUUUAGCACGAGAGGGUGAGAGGGAGAGGGGGGAGAGAGAGAGCUCGGCAUGGGGUGCAAUGGCGGGUGUGUGAGGUAAAUACAUUUGGUAAUAGAGUGGAAAAAUGGGUUGUGUAGUUGAGAGACUUAGAGAUCGAAACAUGGAGAGAAAGAAUGAAUGUGUGUUGGAAACCGAUAGCUUCCUAAGGUCGUUAGGAGAGGAAGAUUGACCGAUACAGGAAGUAUGUAGCGUUUGUGCGGGGGGGGGGCGCUAAAAACAACAUUUGAAUGUACAUAGUAUGAGACUUAAUAUCGAUGUUUCAAUUCGGUGUACAUUGUAAGAUUUGAAUCGAGGACCAGGCAUACGGGUAAUUAUUUCGAAUUCGUGCCAUACUAAGUUUCGAAAAGUUGACAUUGACUCAGUUUGUUGUGCUAUUUUGUAGGUCAUAUGUUUGAAUCCAUCCAAAAGUUUUCUCACUACCAUUAUGUUCAUCAUAUACAUAUGAAUUUGUAUUAAAAAAGUAGCAUGGAUAUAGUGAAAUGCGAAAUCCACAUUAGAAUUGGAGAUCGCUACAUGACACACACACACUCUAAUUCAAAUAACUAACUACGUGACACACACUCUAAUUCAAAUAACUAAUUAUGUGACACACACUCUAAUCCAUGUUAGCGUGGGUACCGUUUCGAUUUUUUUCAAAUAACUCCUCAUUAAUUAAUUUAUAGUACUCCCUCUGUUCACUUUUAUAAGACCUUGAAGACAUUUCAGACAAUGUGCAAAACAUUUCAUUUUAAGUUGUCUGAAACGACUUACAAAAGUGAACGGAUGGAGUAUCUCAUUUCGAAUGACUAAUUAUUGCAAGGAAAACACGGGCAUGGUAAUACAUACAGAUUCGUUUGCAAAUGAAAGAAGAUUCGUUUGCACUCUCAAAUGUAGACGCACCAGGCAAACCAGGGUCGUGUCGGGGUGGACGCUGCUUCCAUGCCUUAAAGGCAACUACCUUUGGGUCACUGACAUGUUGGCCAGCCACCUGUUGGGCCCAUAUGUCAUGGACACAAAGGCACCGAAGCAUAGUCCUGUCGGGGUGGUCGCGUGUGUCGGACGGAUGCGUAGCACCCAGCCACCCACCCCCCUCCCCCCCAAAAAGGAUGACGACAAUAUAAGUUCGUGCUUCCAUGUUUCAGAUUGAAAUAUCUGGCGGCCCCAAUUCCAGCCCUGCAAAAUCUCUCUUCUCCACCGUCCCCUUCCGCGCCCAGAUUGCUCAAAUCCCUAGUUCGUCGCCAACCCUCGAAUCACCCCUCAUCUCGUCUCUUUCCCCACCGUUCCCCACCUUUGUGCCGGACAACGAUGACAAAGACGACGGUUGCGCUUCACCACCGCACCGGAGCUACCUCAUCUACGCCAUCGUCCACCGCGCCGGGUGGUCCACCGACAACGUCGGCCGCCGCAACCGACGUGCCUCACAGACACCGAGUUCCACCGCAUCAGGUGCGCUUCACCGACGCCGUCUCCCAGCUCAUCGAGGCUACUUCACCGAGCACAUCGUCGCACCUCCACCCCCCGAGGCCAUUGGGGCUUCACCAACGGUCUCGUCCACCGCAUCGUAGCGCUCCGCUGCCACUCAAGAUCUACAUCCGUGCGCGGCCAGCCAACACCAGCACAUCACCCUCAACAUCUCUAAAGUGACCCGGACUCUUUCUAGGCGAGCAUGCCCAAACAUCGGCCCGAACUAGGCAUCCACACAUCACUCCCUUGUGCACUAUUCCGACGAUGUUUGGAUAUCCUUUCACUGCUCUCUUAGCUUACACGCCUAUGCAACUCUGACCUUAACUCUUAUUUCUUCUGGAGAUAUCAUCUGAAACAAGCAAAUCCAUAUUUUAGCGAAGCAUGACGGCGCUACGGGAUCUGGUACACAUCCUGCACACCCGUAUAACACUGUAAGUAUCUGCCCUCCGGUACAACAUCAAGGUCGAUUCCUCUUAUUUGAUCAACCAUUCGCCGUGUCAAAAAUGCAGAGGGGGAUGCAAGGAGCACAAGGCCUGCACAUCCAAGCAAGUGGUAACAUGGACUUGUACAUGGAACAUCCCAAGUGCAAGCAGAGCUGCAGUGAGCCUGUACAACGAGCUAGCGUAAGUCCCUGCAUUUCAUUUAAUUCGUACUGGCAUUCGUGUAUGAUUUGUGUGCAGUGGAUGAUCCACGAAUUCAAGUUACCAGGGGCGAACAUUUAACUUGAAAAUUACGAAGGCACUUGCACUCCGGAAAUCAACAUAACUUGAGAAAUGUGAAGCUACAUGCACUUUGAAAACCAGCUAAUGAUCCAAAGUAGUUCAGAUUAUAAACACUAAAUGAUGCAAGCAACAAAAACACAAAAUGCAACAUGGUGUACAAGGACUACAAACAUGGUCUGUACCUGCCUGAAUUAUUCGUUCUCUAGCUGAAAAUAUCGAAGUCUAAUUGCACGUAUAACCAGUGUGCAAACUGCAUAUCAAUAUAUCUAUCCUGCAAAAGUAUGCCAAUAGUUUCAAACAACAAAUUAGAAAAGUAUUUAUGCUAUGUUGUCAUGAUACGGGGACUUUCUGGUAGAUGGCCUCGACGUUUCCUCAAGCUAUGAAAAUGCACUAUAAUUUGCUUGUCAUCAAUGCCUGCAAAUCUCUGUCUCUCUCAACAUAGUAGAUCACCAUUAGACACUAAAUCCUUCAAUGAGCUUGCAAAAUGCUUGCAUUAGAUCCCUCAUUAGACACUAUAUGUUCAUCACCAGGAGCAUGUAAAAUGUUUGCAUCAAAUCCUUCAUUAGCAGUCUGUUCAUUAGACACUUCAGGCUCAAGAACAACAUGAGCUUGUAUGUUUGCACUGGAAACUUGAUUAGAUACAUCAGAUUCAGUCAGUUCAGUAUUGAUUGGGGGAGUUAUAAAGUAAGUAGAAAUUGGUUUCAUUUUCUCAUAGAUUCCCUACAUACAAGCAGUUUUACAACACCGUCGGGUUUAACUAUUGGCCAGAAAUUGAAGAGUUGAAUUAGAUAUAAUCAGGGAUGUGAUGUACCUGCUCGUUGCGCAUGCUACUCUUGCAAGCUGCGACUGUCCAUUUGCGCAAGCUCGAUGCCAUGCCCCUGCUGCCGCUGCUGCCUCCCACGUAGGCUACACCCAGGGUUGGAUCUUCAUCUACUUGUCCUUCCGUUCGCUUGAAGCCUGGCGACCGCCCUCCAACGAGGGCGCGAGGAAGUGUUGUGUCGGUCUGUCCAGCGGCGGCUGGGUUAGGAGCGAACCAGACUGGAGGCUAGAGCGAAUGAAUUGAGAUUUUUCCUGCUGUCGAUCGAUAUGGGAGGCGCUCGUUUGGGCCGCGAGCCUGCUAUAGGGCCUGCCUUGCACUUAUGUUAUUGGCCCAUCCAAAUUGAAACAUUUUUCUUCAUUUUUUACAUUGCCUGCUCGUGCGUUGGGACGAACAAAACUAGCAUGGGCCAACCUGGACAACUCAAACUAGGUGCACACUUUCCAGCAACCUGAGGCGGCCGCCCAUACCAGCCCAUAUGGUGGCGUCGCCCCUUUUUGCGUGUAUGAUUGGAUAAUGAAAAAUAUUCCAAUGGCGCUUUUGAUUUACCCACAGAAUGGUUGAAUUGCUUGUUUCUAUGAACUGAGUUCGCCAAUAAUGUGAAGGAUGCCAGUCUUUUCAUCCUAUUGUAGAUUGCUUAGAUCUCGAUAUGCCAAAAGUAAUCGCAUGAAAUAUACAGUAAAAGCCAGUGUGAUGUGUUUGGCUACAACUAGUCUGACUACACGUCCUCAUAUAACAUAUCAAGGACGCACCAUCUUACCAGAUUAACCAUUCGACUUACCCAUGCAGUGUGGGAAGAAAGAAGUAUUGGGACUGCGUAUCCAAGCAAUUGAUGCCAUGGAAUCCUUCGUACAACCUUGUAAGCGAAAAAGAAGUUGCAGUGUGCCUGUACAAAGAACUAGCAUAAGUUCAGUUACCUGCUUCUCGGAAUUUUAGUUAGCCACUUACUGCAAAAUUGUUCAAUUACGUUGCUUGGCUUAAUUUAGUUUGCUACUGAUUACAUAAUGGCACAGCCUGUUAAUCAUUGUAGACUGCGCCUAUCUAUGUGUUUGAUACUUACUGUUAAGAAUUACCUGUUUGCCUUAACUUAAAUAUCUACUUGUUUGUUUAACUACUUUGCUGCUGCAACAGCGGGUUACAAUGAUGUUAAUAACUACUUUUCAACAUCCAAUUGAAACUCUUUAAUUCCUUGUUUGUUUAACUGGUUUGCUGUUAUAACUCCCAGUUGAGAUGUUUUGCUAACUUCAACUUUUCUGAAUCCAAUCGGAACUUUAAUGGCAAAAUAGGUUAGCCCAAGAUCAAAGAGCGAGGUCCCCAUGGACGUUGCAUCAACCCACAGCAGUGGCACUGGCCCAAUCGUGCAUUAUGAAUUGCCAACUGCUGAUGCUCUAGAGGCUAAACUAGUGGUAGAAAGAGAUUCUGCUUCUGCACUUAGAGAUGAAGUUGACAUGUUGAGGAAGCAAACAGCACAAUCACAAGCAGUACUCAAGACAACCAUUAAAUAUUUGGUGGAUUUCAAAACGAAGGAAGCUAAGACUGACCAGAUUGUUAAGGUCCUGAAGGAAAAAAGGAAAUUAAAUUCCUACUUGGUAAAUCAUAGGUGAAAUGUUCUUUCCAUAGUUGAAUAACCUUUGUGUUGUCUGUUCAUGUAAUCAAUCAAACCAUUUGUUUUAGAGAUCAUGUAAUAAUUGUUUUUUUUUGUUUUUUUGUUUGUAAUUUUAUUUGAGCACAAGUCUGUAUUAAUUGAUAAGACUCGGAGACAUUUCAUUUGGAUUGUUGUGCCAGACCUACAAAUAUGCCAAUCGGGCUAAAUGUGCAUUCAGCAAUAGUAGUAUAGAUGGACCAUAAGUGGCACGCAUCGGAAAGGGCCAAGAUUCUGGCUAAAAAAAGGAUGUUGUUGUAGCCAAAAAAAGUACAGCGACCUGGCUUAUGUAUGUUAGUUGAUAUUAUUGAUCCAUAUACUCUAUAAGUGUUUAUAUGUCUGUUAGUUCCGUACAUUCUUGGUUGAUUGACUCGGUAUUUGAAUCUUGAUAUAUCGCUUGUGUACAUAUCUAAAUGGGAGUACACAUUAUGCUGUGUGUGACAUUUGAGUUGGACAUGAAGUGUUCCAAAUAUUCGAAUUCACCUUAAACUGGAUUCUAGUUUCUGAAUUUGAGUAUCAGCAUUUGUAAACCAUAUUCAUAUAUGACAGUGGAAUACAUCUUUGUCGUCCUUUUGAAGAUAUAUAGAAACACAUAGAAUGAUUUAUAAAGAUUCAUAUAGGAAUACAAAAUGGAUUCGAAUUUAGUUGCGAGGGUAAACGUGGAUGCUUAUUGUCCCAAAAUUGGAAAGAAACAACAAAAUGUCCACUCCCACAUCGGCUGCCUGAAGCCAAGUGUUUGGGAGAUAGAAAUUACUGUGUACCCAUUACACGGACAAUCCAUCGGCCCGAUUUCCACUGCUCUAAAUAGGGGUAGGUUAGUAACUUCAAUUAGAUGUGACACGACCGCCUCUGAGCCCAUUCCGACACGGUGGGCGUUAAACAUGGGCGGCAAAACUCAUUUGAUUCAAGCUCGUCCGAAAGACCUCUAUUUUUCCCUCCAUUCCCCAUUCAUACACGGUGGGCGGCAAACACCCUCUCCUCGUCCGAAAUAGAUGUAGGCUAAUAUUUUAAAUAGAGGCAGAUGUGUAACUUCCAUCAGACGUGACACAACCGCCCUACCUGUCAGCCCUGUUCAUACACCGUGGGCACCAACCGUGGGCGGCAAAACACCCUCUCCUCGCCCGAAAUAGUUACCGGCAAAUAUUUGGGAGAUGCGAGAUUACCGUCCUAUCCCCAACCGACGAGACGUCCAAAUUUGAAACGGGGGAUAAGUUCGUAACUUUCCCAUAUUUCAGAUAGGCGCGUCCCAAAAACAUGGUUCCCCGUACCUCUCCCUCCAUUUUACCAUUCAUACACCGUCUGCCCUAGAACACCCCAUUCCCACACCAGCCUCCGUUCGCCACCCCAUCCAUCACCGCCGUCCUCCACCACAUCCAUCGCCACCGUCCUCCACCAUGCCAGAGCGCCUACCAAGACUGCGUCGUCCACUGCUAGAGAUGGACGUUUCUCAUCCACGGUGACGGACCAAUAGCCUUGCAUCGCGUCCUCUCGCUUCAUCGGCGCCAUCCUCCUCUUUGCCGGGGCCGCUCACACGACCUUCUCCUCCACCGCAACGGGACUUAUCCCCCGAUGCACCUGUCUACCAUCGCAGAUCUGCUUCAACGCCACCGACACCCAUCGCACCCCCGAUGCCUACACGGCGCCGCAAAGAGAGGUGGUACUUCAUAUCUCCUCAACUUUUUGAUCUCAACCAGAAAAUAGAUAUUAACUUGGUUACUCUACUUUCUUUUCAGCUCUUAGAAUUUAGUUCUUAGUUCGAAGCAAACAAUGGAUGCUAAAUAUCAUUUCUCCGGUUUGCAGCUUCAAAUCUGCCAUGGCACAACCAUAAUACGAUUUAAUAGAUCAUGCUUAGGGUUUAAUUGAUCAUGUUGGUUCCGUGGUGGUUUCUUUAAUAGAAAUUAGAGGGGAAACCCUCUUUUGCUAAAAAAUGUAUGCUUAGAGUUUCCCCCUUUUAUGAUCACUAUACGAUCAGAAUACAUGCUUCGUGUCAUAAUAACACUGCUCCACCCAUCAAGCUAAACAAGCUUAGUUGUUCAAAUACGAAUCUGAUAUUAUUAAAACAGAGUUGUUUAAUUGGUCAGCUAAAUGUUCCUAAAUUAGUUUCGAAAAUGCAUGUUCGCCGCUCGGCUGUGUAUCUCUGUGUGUGGUUUGGUCAGCAUGAUUGGGGAGGUGAACUUUGCAUAUGCAGGGGUUUAUAGGGAGACACUCUCCGAGUUGAAACCGCAAUGCAUUCCAUAGAUAAUCUGACUACUUUUUAUGUUUUCAUGAAUCUCAAAUUCUGAACAGCAUCAUAAUGAUUAUGAGCUUGCGCGCAUGAAAAGAAUAAAGCAGAACAAUGCCAUGGCUGUUAAACUUGGCAUUAAGGGACUGAAAUCAAGUCUGGAUGCAAUGCAAUGCAAACACUCUCCACCUACAGAUUCAUGCUCAGAAUAUGAUCCUAAUAGUGAUUCUGAGCUAGAGGGAGACCUAAGUCAAUGUAGCUCCCUAGUGGAGGAUUCAGAGGAAGAUGCCCUAUCUUAUUCACCCAUCAAGGUACUUGCUCUAACUUUCCAAGGUUACAUUGCUCGCACAUAUCUUGCAACUGAUGCUUUGCAUUGCUUCUACUUUGUUGAACUGCCAUUAGCUUAGUUUACACAUCGUGUAUGUGAAUACGCCCUGCCUAUCCAUUUUCAGUACAUAUUCCAUCUGUCAUCAUACCAUAUUUAUCCAUUCAAACGUUGUUCUUGUGUAUCAGACGUUCGAAAGGAAGAGGGCGAUUGCUGAUCGUGGAGGAGCACAAGCAAAGUAUUUGGAAAAAGGUAGUGGCACCUGAUAAAUCAAAUAGCCCAUUAGGUGUAGUUGCAGUAUCACCUGACCCACAAAAUACCCCAACUCUAGCAGACUCUAGCCCUACUACACUGGUCAUUUCUGAUGCCCCAACUCAGUAGACCCCAACUGCAGCAAACAGUAUGAUUAUGCCAGUUGACAUAACACCAACUGUACGACGCAAAACCCCCAUUCCAGCAAAGAGUACACCAAAUCCAGUUGCCAAAUCCCUUUUCGAACCAGAGAGAGCCCUAAUUGCAGCAAAUAGGACCCCUGUUCCAUUUCUUCCCGGUUUAGAAGAGGAAGCUUAUGUUGUUGUCAAGAACUUUGUGCGCAUCUUUCCUUCAUGGAAAGAUUAUACCGCAGACACAGAACAAUUUCCAGUCUUCCUCCGCAACUUACGCGCAAGUAAUGUACUAAUGUUAUUCAUGGUCAUUACUGCAUAUGUUUCUGCUGACAGAAGACACAAGAUUUCAUUAUUUUAAAUAGGCGAGGCGCAAACUGGAUUGUGAUGACGAGCAAGGGUUGGUUGCGCUUUUCAAGCACUCAUUGAUGAAGUAUCGUUCCUACCUGAGGCAAGCGCACUUUGAUGGCAAGCCUCUGAACAAAAUUUCUGUAAAAUCUCUGGUGCUACAUUUAUCCGACGGUGACUGGAAUAAUCUUGUUACACAUUGGUCUCGGCUGCAGCGUAAGGUACUGUCUAUGAUAUCACAUCACAAUUUGAACUACAUUUCUGCAUUUGCCUUAAUGUCUCACUUGUACGAAAACUGUUAGCAGAAGAACAUUCAUUCUCAAGGGACCAUAGAAUCUCGCAACUAUACUGCACACUGCAUUGCUCUUGUGAGUACCUCUUGCCCUGUAUGACCAUACUUACUUCCAUAGUUGUUUGAUUAUGUAGCAUCACUGCACAUGUUAGCCUCGUAAUCGUCCAUUUGGUGGACAUUAUAAGAUCCGUAUGGACUCUUACAUAAAUUUAGAAUCAACCCAAUGCUUUUGAAGAGGUUUAGCUCUGCAGUCCUCUUGUAAGAACUGAACGUGGUCUACCACUGUACUUACAUUAACAGCUACUCCCUCCGUCCUAUAAUAUAAGAACGUUUUGUACAGUACACCAGUGUUCAAAACACUCUUGUAUUAUGGGAAGAGGGAUUGGUUCAUUUUGUAGCAUUCUGCAUCUUAUCUCUCUCGCCCACCAUUUACUAAAAAAGAUCAGAUCUAUAUUUAAUCUUACCAACAAGUAGAAUACACAGACAAUGCCAGUGCAGAAGUGUAGCCCAUUGCUCUUGUCAGUACAUUUUGUCCUGUAACGCUUGUACUUCCAGGGAUUGGUAGUUGAUUAUGUAGCAUUAAUCUGCAUCUUAUCUUCAUUAUCCUCUAUCCCUUCCAGUAUUAUCAUAUCUAUAAUUACUCUCUAUAAAAUGUAGAGUACAGGCAAUGCUUAUGAAGAAGAUUAUGUGCUGAAAUUCUUGAGUUAUCCUUCCCUUGCCAUGGAGAAGGGCAUUAUAAAGCCGGUGUUAACUAUUAAUGUGAGUCAGUCCUUCUAAAGCCUUUGUCCUCAACUGCUAUUUAAUUUGCUCAUACUCCCUAUCGUUUACUGCUGUUUAGUUUGUUGUUUCUACCAAAAUGCAUGUUCGUAAGAACCAUAAGUUCUAAGUUUUACUUGUAAACCAAAUUCCUUAUUCAUACCAUGCACAUUACUUAAUACUCCCUAUAUGUAUGCUUGUUUUUGUGGAUCUAUAAUCCAGUGUGUGGUGAAGCAGCCCAUGUUUGCACCUUGUCAUCUCCUGUUUUAUCUUACUGGCUGAUGAUAUGAACAACAUGCCAUGCACAUUAUCCAAAAUAGAUACAAUGAUUUUCUUUGCCCUUCAUCUAUGCUUGUUAUGUUGACAUGGUAAUCCAGUAGUGUGGUGAAGCUCCCCGCAUUAUGAACAAUGCCAAAUUAUGCUAUUGAUAUUUUGAACAUACUCUUUAUUUUCUAAUUUGAAAUUGGAUAGAAUUGACAGAAUAGUUAUCAUCUUUGUUUAUACACGUGCAAAACCUGUCAUCUCUCUGCUUUGUUUCAGGGUGAUAUGCCUGAUGGCAUGCACAAGUCUGCUGAAGGUUGUGAGACAAACCCAACAUAUAUUAGAGCAAAGAAGGCAAAACAUCUUGAAGAUAGCGAGACAACCCCAAAGUCUUGUCUUGAUGCAGUGUUCAAGUUACUUGAGACUAACAGUCAGACAAGCUCACAGAAUUCGUUGUCUGAAUCAGUUCGACUUCUUCAGUCCCAAGUUCUAGCAGAAAGGCAUUUUGCAACUCAACUUCGACUUGAAGUCCUAUCUCUAAGUAAGAUUGCGUAGAACACCAAUGAGAACCUCAUCGCUAAACAACUACACCUGGAAGCUAUGACCGACAUGCUAGGCCGGUCUCACAGCCUUGCUCAGCAGCUUGCGCAGCAGUUCCCCCGCAAGGCUAACCUUUCUUGAACUGUCUUUGAAGUGGUCUCAGUUCAGUAUUAUUUUGUUACGCUGCAAUGGUGCCCAGUUUUUGUAAUCUACUUCUCUGUUGCGCUUUAUGAUCACUGGUGGCGAACUUUGAUGCCCAGUGGAUGUAAUAUACCUUAAAUCCUUUAUUGUGUAGUGUAGGUUUAUUCUUAGUUACUAUGCCACAAUUUCUUUAUUGUAUAGAGUAGGUUUGUUCUUAAUUCCUACUAGUUACGCAGCAGCCCGAAAUGAACCCCGGCCCAUGAUUGUGCAAAUCAAAUCACGGGCUUUUAACAGGCCAAAAUUUUCUGGGUUCUUGUUUGGCCCAACCAGAUAUCGGCUGCGAGCAGGCCGGAUGCAAACCGGGCCGUAGUUAGGCCCAACUAUAUGACGGGCUUUUAACAGGUCGAAAUGUUAAACGGGCCCUUAACAAACUAAUAUCAGGCCGAAUUACUAAGUGGACCUUUAGCAAGUGGGCCCAAAAGCAUAGUGUCCAGUUGACGGGCCGAAUCUGAUAUGGGCCAUAAUAGAGCCCAAAGCCUCUUAAAGGGCCGAACCUGAUCUGGGCCGUAAUUUGGCCCAGAACGUGGUAGGCUUUUAACGGGUCGGAUCUCAUAUGGGCCACUAUUAGGCCCGGAGCGUGGCAGGCCAUUAAUGGACCGGAUCAAAUAUGGGCCGGCAUUUGGCCCAAAACAUGGCAGCCAGUUAAUGUGCCGGCCUACUAGGGUCCUCAAAAUCUUGUGGGCCUACAGCUGGGCCCGCCCAUUAAUGUCGGCGAAAUCUCGUGGGCCUUUAGCUGGGCUGACCCAUUAUGACCCGCAAGAAUAUUGUGGGCCUUUACCUAGGCCGGCCCAUUAUGGCACAAAAAAAUCUUGUGGGCCUUUACCUGGGCCGACCCAUUAUGGCCCGCAAAAUCUUGUGGGCCUUUAGCUGGGCCAGCCCAUUCUGGUCCGCAAAAUCUCGUGGGCCUUUAGUUAGGCCAGCCCAUUAUGGUCCACAAAAUCUUGUGGGCCUCUAGUUGGGCCGGCCCAUUUAAACUUGUUGGGCCGUGCCACGUAUCGACGUAUCAUAGGCGCCUUCUGUCCAGUGAGUGGAUGACAUCUGUCCCGGCGAUGAGCCGACACGUGUUUCCUCUAGCCAAUGAUGAUUUUACACGUGGAAAAUCCCCAUUGGUCGGGGUUGUUAACGGGUUAUCGGAUCCAAAACCCGACCCGGUAGCUUAACGGCGUUCCGUUACGGUGGAUGCCACGUGUCGGUCACCCUUGAUGAAAGCACUUCUGUGACGCGCGAUUUCUCGUCAUGGAAGUGGACACUUCCGUGAUGAUUAUUUUGGUAAUGUCAUGGAACACUUCUACGACAGCACAGGUAUGACUAUCUUGAUUCUGUCAUAAAUUUGUCAUGGAUGUACAUGCAUGACAAAAAAAGCGACCUACUAUGACAAACACGUAUCAUCACGGAAGUGUAUUUUUUUAUAGUGUACUCUAUUACAAGUGGAGUUCUACUCUUGCUUCUUUUGUAGGAUAAUAUUCCUUAUGCCUUUCCUCUUAAAUCGGCCCAUCAUAACGUGAGCUGGACUUCUAGGCCUUAGGCCUUAUUGUCCAUCUGACCCGCCCGCCGGGUUACAAAUGAUUCGCCAAGAUCGAGCGGGUUACCUAUGAAUCGCUAAGCCUCCAGCCGGGUCAUACAUCCGGCGGGUUACACCGCGGGGUAUAUCCCCGAUAGCACCAAUAGUACGUAAAAACGGUCUACCAAGAAUAAUUGGACAAGACAGAUUGCAAUCAAUAUCAAGAAAAAUAAAAUCUAUGGGCACAUAAUUCCUAUUUGCAAGAAUAAGAACAUCAUUAAUUCUUCCCAUAGGCUUUUUAAUAGUAGAAUCCGCCAAGUGCAAAUUUAGAGAACACUCUUCAAUAUCGGUAAGACCAAGCACAUCACAUAGAUUUCGGAACUGUAGAAACACUAGAACCCAAGUCACAUAAAGAAAAACACUCAUAAUUUUUAAUAUUGACUUUUAUGGUAGGUUCCCAUUCAUCAUGCAAUUUUCUAGGAAUUGAAAUCUCUAGAUCCAACUUUUCUUCAAAAGAUUUCAUCAUAACAUCAACAAUAUGUUUAGUAAAAGCUUUAUUUUGUUCAUAAGCAUGGGGUGAAUUUACUAUGCAUUGCAACAAAGAAAUACAAUCAAUCAAAGAGCAACUAUCAUAAUAAAAGUCUUUGUAAUCCAAAAGAGUGGGCACAUCACUAGUUAAACUUUUGACCUCUUCAAACCCACUUUUAUCAAUUUUCUCAACAAGAUUUUUACCCUCCGAAUUAUCGGGACGCCUUCUAGCUAAAGUUGACUCUUCUUUGGUCCCUUUAUUAUCAAUCUUAAUUUUACUAAACAAAGAAUCAAUAGAAGAAACACCAAUCAUUUUACGAUCUUCAUCACUUUUAUGAAAGCAAUCACUAGAAAAUGCUUUUUCUAAAAAUUCUCAUCUAGCUCUAAGCAUAGCGGUUCUUUUCUUACUUUCAUCCGUAGAAACAUAUAAAGCUUUAUUUGAUUCCUCAACCUUAGGAACAAAAAUAUUCAUCUUGAGAUUUUCUACAUCAUGAGAAAUUCUAUCAAUACUUCUAGACAUAUCAUCAAUCUUAUUCAAAUUUUCUUCUAUUGUAGCAUUCAAAACUUUUUGAGUAUUGAUAAAUUCUUUAAUAUUACUCUCAAAGUCUCAAUAUCAGAGGUGUUCCUAUUAUUAUUAUAAGAAGGAUUACCAUAAUUAUUAGAGGAAUUACUAGGAAAAGGCCUAGGAUUAAAAUUACCUCUAUAAGCAUUGUUAUUGAAAUUGUUUCGAGAGAUAAAAUUCACAUCAAUAGCAUCACUAUUUAACUGAAUCAAAGUAGAUAAAGCCACAUCAUUAAAAUCAAUAGGAGAACUUUUAUUAGCAACCAAUUUCAUAAAAGCAUAAACUUUUUCACUCAAAGAAGAAAUUUCUUCAACCGAAUUAACUUUUUUACUAGUAGGAGCUCUUUCGGUAUGCCAUUGCGAAUAAUUUGCCAUAAUAUUAUCAAGAAAUUUGGUGGAUUCACCCAAAGUAAUUUCCAUAAAAGUACCACCCACGGCGGAAUCCAAAAUAUUACGAGAAAUAAAAUUCAACCCUGCAUAAAAUUUUUGUAUGAUCAUCCAAAGAUUUAACCCAUGAGUUGGGAAAUUCCUUAGCAUCAGUUUCAUCCUUUCCCAAGAUUGUGCAACAUGCUCAUGUUCAAGUUUCUUGAAAUUCAUGAUAUGGGUUCUAAGGGAAAUGAUUUUUGCAGGCGGAAAAUAUUUAGUAAUAAAAGCAUCUUUGCACUUAUCCCAAGAAUCGAUACUAUUGCGAGGUAAAGAAGAAAACCAAAUUUUUGCACGAUCUCGCAAAGAAAAUGCAAAUAAUUUCAAUGUCACAACAUCAUUGUCCACAUCUUUUUUAUUUUGCAUAUCACAUAAUAUGACGAAUGUGUUAAGAUGGGAUGCGGCAUCCUCAUAAGGAGUACCGGAAAAUUGAUCUUUCAUAACAAGAUUCAGCAAAGCGGUAUUAAUAUCACAAGACUCCGCACUAGCGGCGGGAGGAGAAAUCGGAGUGCUAAUAAAAUCAUUGUUGUUGGUAUUGGAGAAAUCACACAACUUGGUGUUUUCUUGAGUAAUUGUGAUUAUGCAACAAGAUUGCACUCAAAAAUAGAUCUGACGAGAAACGGCGAACGAAAAAGAGGGUGAAUAAAACAACAAUUUUUUGUGAAGCGGGGGAGAGGAAAACAAGAGGCAAAUGAAAAAUAAUGUAAAUUGCAAGGAGAUGGGAUUUGUGAUUAGGAACCUGGUAGAUGUUGAUGAUGUCUCCCCGGCAACGGCACCAGAAAUUCCUUUUGAUGCGGCUUGAACUACGUCGGUAUUUCCCCAAAGAGGAAGGGAUGAUGCAGCACAUCUACGGUAGGUAUUUCCCUCAGUGAUGAGACCAAGGUUAUAAAACCAGUAGGAGAACCACGCAACACUACGUGAACGGCACCUAUACACAAAUAACAAAUACUCGCAAUCCGACGUAUUAAAGGGGUUGUCAAUCCCUUUCGGGUAACGGCGCUAGAAAUUGGUAAGUAGACGGGAUAAAAAUUGUGAUAGAUUGAUAAAUGCAAAUAAAA
rnacentral:lncRNA from 1 species